UUUUUUUUUCGUUUAUUUUUUUCUAAGCAGUAAUCUGCAUUUUGUAUAGCUGAUUUUAGCUAGAGGCAGCCAGGUUCAGUGAAAGAACUUUCAGCUUCUUGGAAUGGAAUCUGAACUGCAGCCGAUUUACAGCAAUUGCCGCGCGCGCUUGUUGAGACGUGGUACUUUUUUUUUCGUUUAUUUUUUUCUAAGCAGUAAUCUGCAUUUUGUAUAGCUGAUUUUAGCUAGAGGCAGCCAGGUUCAGUGAAAGAACUUUCAGCUUCUUGGAAUGGAAUCUGAACUGCAGCCGAUUUACAGCAAUUGCCGCGCGCGCUUGUUGAGACGUGGUGGUCAUAAAGGAGUGUCACGGGUUACAUCUCAUUUACUAGCCUUGUUGAGCGUCUCAUAACGAGCUAACUUGUCGAUGAGAGAUGGUGAACUUGUAUACGAACAUGAGCUAACCAUAUGGACGUUUGUUCUCAUACAGAAAAUCCAACUAGUCCACCGAAUCUUUUCAAACAACAUUUUUGGACUCUCCCUAGCCUUAUACACGUUAAGAUGGUUUAAAUGGGUUGAGUUAGCUUUCCAAUAACAAAGACAACCCACACGAAUGAGCACCAUACUCGCACACAGAUCCCUUGUACAAAUAGAACCAAUAGAAGCACCCGUGUACAAAUUUGCAAACCGUGGACACCAGAAACUGGAUUUUAAUUUUUUUUUUAGGUAAAAGUCAUAACAUCACGCUUUCACCACCAGUCCACCACGCUACGAGCUGUUUCCUCGUGAAUCGAGUUAGCUAGUGUAGAGUAAAUAUCAAAAUAACACUAUUUUUACAUAUCCGUGGAACAUGAACACCUCUUUCAAAAAAAAAGAUCACCUAGGACGCUGGAAAUUUUUGGGUAUGACUCUUAAGUCCAUGUGAUCAAUAUGCCUGUGUUGGAAGACUUUCCUCAAAUACUCUAUCCCUAGCAUUGUCAGCCUGCAAAUAACAAAGCAAAACAAGUAAUAAGAACAUAUAUUUAGAUUAUGGAAAUAUGACGAUGUUACUUAUGUGUCACAAGUUUCAUUUCAAUUGGAGUUUGGUUUUGCCGAGUGAAAUACUCAAAAAAUAUAGUCGUGAAUAACUACUUGUUCAAAAGUUCUAAACCCUUCCCGUUGGAUUUCAGAAUGUGAUUAAUAUAUGUAAAUAUAUUCUAAACCUCAAAUACCAAUACGACCUCAGCAACACUUUAUUUGAACUUUACAAUAUAUUGAAAUACUUUAUAGCCCAAACCAAAGUGGAUGAACUUUUAGGGCAAUUCUUUUGUUUUGGGGGAUUACUAACUGGUGAACAUUCACUAAAUGCUAAGUUUAGUGAACAAAAACUAGAAAAUUAUUUGAAUACUUUAAAAAAAUAUUUAACUAGUUUUCUGAUAUAAUUGACAAUAUUAGCAAAAUUACUGAACUAGAUUUCAUUAAUUUUAACAUCUUCCAAAAUUUGUAAAACUAUGUUCAAACUUUUGCACCAUUUUUUUUCAGAAAUUGUGCAACCAGGUUUCAAAUUGCCUGGUUUCAAAAAAUGUUGAGGGAAAAUAAUUAUCUAGCAAAUUUUCUUUUCAGAAACAGGGUCUCUAUCCCUAGCCAUAUUGAGUACUCCUUUUCAUCACCCAAGGCUAAGGGAAUAGAGAGAAGCAACAAUUAUCAGAAAGGAAAGGAGAACCUACCAUCUUCCCCCAGUUUGUCAUUGCAGUGAUCACUGAUAGGAGAGUGACCUGCGUAGCUCCACCAGCUAUCAUGCCAAUCCAGAACCCAGCUCCUCCUAGAUGCAAUGCAAAACCGAGAACAAGCGCCACAGGAAUGCCAACAAGAUAGAAUGCGCCCAGGUUAACAUAGGCACCUAAAUGCUGCCAUCCACAGCCUCUAGAAAUACCUGAUGGGAAAAAAAAUUGAACCAGACCUUAGUUCAAUUGUUUAUACAGUGCAACUGACAAUAGAUUAUUGUUCAUGGAGGGCAGAAGUAGAUACCUGAAAGGACUCCUUGGAGGUUGUCAGUAAGAACUGAAAUGGAAAGCAAUGGCACCAUUCUGGUGACAUAAUUUACAACCUCUUCCUCGUUGCUGAAAGCAAUUCCGAUGAAAUGGCGCAACGAUAGAAGAGUUACGCUCACCAGAACUGCGGUGCAAAUUAUAAUGGAUAAGGCGACAACUACUACUAGGCGGGCGCCAUCUGGGUUCCCUGCACCUAGCUCAUUUGAUACACGCACGCUGAAACAUGGAAACAGCAGAUAUUAUGUCAUCGAUUGUAGAAAGCGAUAUGAUUUGAUGAAUGAUGAUAACAACAUAUGCUUGGUCCUACCUUGCAGCUGUUCCAAUGCCAUAUGGGAGAUUGUACACCAAUACUACUGUAGAUAUGCUGUUCAAAAUUCAAAUAGGACAUUAAUUUAGUAGGCUUUGUAGCACAUGAUUAAAUAGCUUCAUAGUUACAGUUAUCCCUACCAUAUAGAGAGCACAGAAGUUUCAAGUGCUGGAUUUGGUAAGAUCCCAGAAAGCAGAACAAGCAGCUCAUAUGACCACCAUUCAAGACUGUAGGCAAGAAAAUUGAUUAAUUCUCACCAAAAGAUUUCGAGUUCAAAAAUAUUUUUUAGGUCACCCUAAGUGCAUGUAGAAAAUUCAAAGGUUAUGGAUAAGAGAUGGGACUUCUUAAUGAAGUAUGUGCAUGUCACAUUCCCGAAGAAAAUUGAACAGGAUUUGCAGUCCAAACUGUGGAAAUGUCAAACAAAGGCAUCAUCUAUAUGGAAAUAGGAGAGUAACAUUUCCUUACCAAAUCAUAAGAGCCGAAGGUACAGCCAACCGCAUGAAAUUGCCAAUUCCUUGAAAAGUUUCCCACGUGGGUGCAGCACGAGUUUUCUCACAAGAAGGUGAGAACUUAAUAUAAAGACCAAGGACUGUGACCUCAACCCAAUCACAGAUGCUGACUGCUAAAGCAGCUCCAGCAUUACCCAUCCCAACUUUGUAAACCAUGAACCAGCACAAAGGAAUGAAGAGAGUGAGUGUUGUCAAGGAGCUCAGAACCAUGGGAAAAAUUAAGCUCUGAGACUGGAGGAACUUUGAAAGGCAUUGAGCCACACUGAAGGCGAAUAAACCAGGGAUAAGCCACAAGGCAUACCUCCCAGCCUCACUUGCUAUUAGUGGAUCCUGACCUAUGAAAGGAAGUAUGUCCGGGAUGAAAACCCAUAAAAUGGCGAUGGGCACACUCACAAUAAGGAGUACAGUUAUAGACCUGUAGGUAAAUAAAGCUAGCUUAUGGUACUGUUCUGCCCCGUAGGCCUGCCCACAAAUAGUUUCCAAUCCGCAUGCCAGUCCCAUCUAAUCAAAAGUACAAAUGUAUCAGAAUGAAGCAACGAAAAUAUAAAUAAUACAUGGCAUAAAUAGAAACCAAGCAACCAGGAUAAAGUACGGAAGCAAUCAUUAUCUGAUUAAUUUUUUUUGUCAGCCAGGUCUUCAAAUUGGUUAUUCUAUCUAUCCGAAGAUGGGGUUUUGUAGUUUGAGAAGGGUAUGGAGGAAGAGCAUUGCUACAAUUUGAGGGCUAAAAACUAAAAAGGACUUGAAAGCAAAACUGUUUGUGAUACAAUUACCAUCUGAUCAAGCUCCCAACUCACAUCAAGUUCGUAAAAAUAUACUCUCUAGGUUCAUUUAUGUUUGUCCUAAGUCAAACUUCUUUAACUUUGAUCAAGUUUAGCCCUCCUGUUUGACCACUUUCUGCUGUUUCCAUGUUUCCAAGUUUAGACUUGUACUUCCAACCCACUUAGUGCUCAGUCUUCCUAAAGGAGUGGAUGGAGCCCAUGUAACUGAUGCAUCUUACUUUAGCUUAUAUAACUAAUAAGUAAUGCAACGAGAUUGAGUAACUUUUGGUCAUCAUCACGCUCUGCGUGCCUUUUGACGAAGUUCUUCCCUCACUCCUACCAGUGCCUCUGGUCAGAGCGGAGAUGAUGUGAUUCGAUCUGUGGUCAUCAUCAAAUACUAUCAAGAAGCAAACACGACCGCGCAUUCCCACGAACACUUCGCCGGCGCCGGCCGCACGCCGACAAGGCCACUAGACUAACUGCACCGGCCGGCCACAGUGCCACACGUUCCUAUCCUGAUUCCUAUCAGGGCAACUGGGGAAGCUGUGAUCACAAGCAAGCAGCACACAGACCGGUCCAAAUCCUGUAGCGGGUGGCCGAGUCGUCGAGCUCGCGUCUCUUCUUAAUAAAUAAAAAAAGUAAAUAAAACAAAAAAAAAGGUGGGGAGGGGUUAAUUGGGCUUACGAGGACGCUGAAUCCCGAUACGUUGGUGAGCGAGUUGGCGAUGGCGGCGCCGGCGAGCGGCACCUCGCCGAGGUGCCCGACCAUGAUGGUGGAGAUGAGCUGCAUCGUGAGCUGCAGCAGCGCCACCGCGAUCAUGGGCGCCGCCAGCGACGCCAGCCGGCCGGCCUCCGCCGUCGCCUCGCCCCACCACCCUUCCGAACAAGCGCCGCCGCAUCGCCGCCACCACAAGCAACUCUUCCCUCCCUCCGCCUCCGCGUCCUCCUUGCCCGCCGGGUGCGGGAUCAGCAGCGGGGCCUCGGAAGAGCCCAUCGGUCGGUGGCUCCUCUUCCUCCUCCCGCCGUACCGUGCCCCGGGGACCCGGGCACCGCCGCAGCCGAAGCGGAUGCCAAGUUUGUUUGGUCUCUCUUGUCUGGUGGAAUCGCGGCGGAGACGAGACGACCAGCGGAGGGUUUAUAUAGAUUAUUAAAAGCAAAACAGCGGAGGGGAGGCCGUGGAAAAUGGAGCUGAAGCCGACGGUGGUGGGGUGGCUACGAGGCUUCGAUGGCACAUGCUGCUGACGGAACGGGACCCUUUGGGAGGACGCUGUGGUUCUGCAGUGUGCCCGCAGCAGCAGCGGCAGAGAAAUGCGUGGCAGCGUGACCGUGCGUGGCUGAGUGAACAGUGCAAGCAGCUACCACUAGUUUGCUGUGCUACACGGCGCUUGUAUUUUUCUCUUUUCUGCCAGCAAAAAAUGACGUUUGAUUGACGCUGAUGGGUGCUAGUCGACGACUCGACGUUGCUAGACGAGUCUUUGCCUGUUCAGAUUGUCAAGCCCUUCAGUAAUGAUUUUUUUUUCCAACAUUUUUUGGGCCGUAAAACUUUGCGCAUAAUGUAUAAUUAUUACAUUUGAGCAUUUAAAAAUCAUACGAGUACAUUUAUAUUGAAAUUAGUUUUGUAAUCAUAUUGUGUACUUAUGUUAAUUACAGGUAAAAUUGAGCUGGGAGAUUAAAACUCUAGAAAUCUACUAGUAACUGGCCUAAUUAGCUGAUCUCGAAGUCUCCAACUAUAGUAAACUACACGGAGAUCAAUAUGGUCACUUGGCAUCAGUGGGACUAAUCUAGUGCCAUUGGCGGCAAGUACGUGGGCAUGGACACGAUUAAGAGUAGCUACUACAGCUCGUACCAUAUAUUUUAAAGCCUUUGUAUAAACUAUCUUUUCUGUUAUUUCAGACAGCAGCCGCCUAAACAGUUGAACAUGCAUUUGAUUGGUCUUCCAUCUUCUUCGUCUAACGAACUAUGAAUAUCACGUGUGGACACCUGUACGCAGCACUGACUAGGUCCACAAGCCCAUACGCCCGCAUGGCGGUCAACAUGUGGUUAUUUAAUUACCAGCAGCCCAACUCCACGGAGGAUUAGUUAAUUAGUCCAUCAUCAGGCUAUUUUAAUUAGAAAUUUCAAAUGCAACGUGUUUCUCUUGUCUAGAAAAUUAGAAAUUAACGAAAUGGCCUUGCUCAUCUCAUGAUUUCUGUAUUUUGCGGCAGCAGCGUUUGUUUAAUUUCUACCCGGCGAAUUUCCAAUAAUCUGACCGCCCGGCCGGCUCCUCCAACUCUCGAGAUUUGGUGGCUGCAUUCAGAGGCUAGGCUGACUCACCUAAUGGAAAAAACAGGACACGCGUGGAAAACGUGGACGUGUGAGGGGGUUUGGUGUCAGGUCUUGUCGGGGUCAAAGCUGAGUAUUGGCGAAUGGCGAUCAAAACCGUGCAUGUUCAAAAAAGGAUUCUGAACAUAAGAAGCCGGCUGCUGCUGCACCUGCACGCCUGUGCCAGCAUUAUUUAAUUUAUCCAACUGUGUCAUCUUUCAUAAACUUAAAAACAAACUGUAGCAGGUAUCCCGUAUAGAAUGAAGGAUCUUCAACUUGUGAAUUUCAAUUGCUGCGGCGUCAAGCAGCAGCCAGUGGUCACUUGCGAAUUUUCAUCCCGGCCAGUCAGAGGAAAGGUAAGUGGCGUAGGGAGACGUGGCUGAUGCUGAACACCGGUGGCAGCGAUCCUUGGCACCGCAUACUAAGAAGAAAGAAGAUCAGUGGCGGUCUAUCCAAUGUUCAUUGCUUGGAAUAUUUGGAAGGAGAGAAAUCACCGAGUGUUCGAAGGAAGAAGCCAGCAACCGACGCAGAUGUUGACCAUGACAAGGAAGACAAAUUAGCGUCAUAGUGCGUGUGGUAGCCCUGAAUUGGACUAGUGUAUCCUCUUUUAUUAAUGCUAGUUAGAGUUCAGGGAAACCAUUUAUUUAUGUAAUAUUGUAACUGCUGUAAUUUUAAAGUUUUUCCUUCUUAAAUGAAUCAGCGCUAUUCCUUAGUUAAAAAAAUAGUAAAAAUAGUCAGAGGAAAGGUUUGAACACGCUCGUAUCUUUCACAGUGAUCAAAGUUUUUUUUUUAAGGAAGCGAUCAAAGAUUCAAAGUAACAUUCUCCGUGUGCUCCAGUGCAUCAGACAUGAUGGCGGCAGGGGGCUGAACAACUUGAGUACUUGACAGCUUGACGUCUUUAUUGCUAUUAACAUUCUGUCCCUUCGACGAACGUAACAACCAUAUCUAUUAAAUUUGGGCUAGUUCGGUGAAGCUCCCGCCACUUCUAGCUCCACCAUACGUCACUGUUUAUAUUUAGCUACACUGUUCACGGAAGCCGGUUUUCUCUCCCCUCCUUCUCCCCCUCACAGACCAGUAAAGAGCUGGUGGAGCCACAAAUUUUGGCUUCACUGGCUCCAGCUUCUCUCACACCCCUGCCAUGCACAGUGCAAGAGCCGGAGGCAGAUGGAGCGGCACCAAACGAGCCCUUAUUGCUAUGACGUCUCCAAUGAUAUAAGUCAUUUGAUAGCUCAUUCUCCUGUUGAUGUGAUUCUACGUACAAGAUAGAUUUGAAUAUCGUCACUGUGAGAGAGUUGUUUCUGCACUCCACGUAUACUUAUUAAACUGUUCAACUAGUAAAAAAUUGAUUGAGCUAGAGCUUUGAGCUAGACUAUUGGAGCCGCCAUGAUACACUUCGUAGUUCUUGAAGUCAUGCAGCAGACAGCUUUAUUAGCGCAUAGUACAAAGCAAAAAAUAAACAGGUUGGCCAUCAACGAAUUCAUCAGAAAGGUUUCAUGGAUUGGAGCAACGAACACAAAUCGGUCUCAUGCAAGCACAGCUGAAACAGGUCAGUCUGGCCGAUUUGCUUGAACUCGUGGCCGAGGACGACGGCCUCCUUCGAUCCCAGGUCGAGCUGGACGAGCCCAACCCCCUCCAUCUGCAGCAUCACGGCGCCGCUCCUCUCCCCGAACCCCAGGAACCGCACCGAGUAGCUCGGGCCCUCCAUGGCCGCCCUGGCGAUGGCCUGCCUCCGGAUCACCACCUGCCGGGUCCACCUCGCCGAGCCGUCGUCCUCCGCCAGGGUCCACAUCGCUAUGGCGCCGGCCUCCGGGACCAGCAGGCCCAGCCUUCCGUCCGGCGACGCGGCCAGGAGGAACCCCGUGUCGAGGCGCUGGGAGUACCUCACCCUGGUGAGGUAGUCCGGGGGCAGCUCGAUCUGCGUCGCCUGCCCUGUGCCGGUGUCCAGGACCUUGACGCCGGGGUCGAGGCAUCUGUGGCACAGCCAGUGGAUGAUGGUGCCGGCUCCGAGGACGACGGGGUGGGCGCCAUUGCCGGACGGAACGUCGUAGCAAUGGCGCGGCAGGAGGCGGGUGUCGACGACGGCUCGCCAUUUGCCUUCCUUGGACGAGAAGGUCUGCGUUCGCAGGCACCGGUCGGCGAUGAGCAGCUCGAAGGAGCGGCCGGCGUCUCCGACCGCGACCAACGCCGGCGGGUACUCGUCCUGCACGGCCGCAGGAGGCAGGCAGGUCGUGUCGCCGGUGAGGCUAUUGCAGACGCGCAGCUUGGGGGCGCUGGCUGCCUCCCGCUGGCGGAGGACGACGAGGCCGCCGCGCGCGGCCACGGGUUCGAACGCCUCCAGGAGGCCGGCGUCGAAGCGGAGGCGGUUUCCGCGGAGCGCCUGCUGCGCGACACGAGCGGGGUCGUCGGUGCAGGACCCGCGGUGCACGCAGGAGAAGCCGAGGAGGAGGGAGGGGUCGAAGCCGCCGCCGCCGUCCGUGGCGCGGCGGGCGGUGAUGGCGUGGCGGAAGUCCGGGCCGGCGAUGGCGCGGCGGACGGGCUUGGAGGUCGCGGCGCAGCGGACGACCGUGGUCGCGUCCGUGCGCGCCAGGAUCUCGAGGAGUGGGUCGAGCGGGAUGGGCGGCGGCGGCGGGGGCAGCGGUGAUGCCGCCGCGGUCGUUGUGCCGUUGCCUGCUCGGCACUCACGUCGGCGGAGCUUGGCGGACGACAUGGCCGUCACGUUCGGUCAAGUAUGCUCGUGCAAAGCUUGCAUGGAUUUUGGUGGUGGGCGUUUGUGGUUAUACGGAGUGUCUGGGCUCGGACUCGGGCGGGCGCACGAGGAGUUCGACACGCGCUCGGAGCCCGGGAGGCCGCGCCCGCGAGUGCGCAUGUGGCAUGUGCAAUUGCAAAAACGUAGCAGGGGGGAUCUCUCCCUGGUUGCCGACCACCAGCAAACGCUCAUCUUGAAGAAACGUCUCCAUUUUCCGUCGAUGUUUGCGCAACUCUGCUUUGUUCCUCUCAAGUUCCCAGUUACAGUAAACUGUAUUCAAAGUGCAACUAGUCCAUCCGAGGAAGACCAAGAGGCUGGUAUCAGUGUCCAAUCCCAAUUCUUAUGCUAUCUUCCCGUUUCGUUACGCUGGAAUUAAUUUGUUAGACACCGAAGAAUUUUGAUUGUGAUGUCACAAUACAGCACAAAAUCUGGAGGUAUGUACAAUGAAAACAGAGAGUUGCUGCUUACAGUCAUUAGUAGAAACCUAUUUAGCAGCACACGAACGCGAAAAUUACAAUCAGAUACUAGAAUAUCUUAUUUAUUUGAAUACUGGCAAAGAACACGCGCGCACGCACCCUCUUUUCUUUUAUAUACAGAAACUCAUAAAAGUUGUUUCCACAGGAAAACCUACAUACAUAUUCAGAACUAGCCUAAGUUUGCAACACUUCCCAGUUAGUCAAGCCUCACACAGUUAGUCAAGCCUCACAUGCACAGCACCCAUGGCGUAACGAUACAUCAAUAAGCUCCCUUGCUACAUCAGUGAUGAUGCCACCCAAUAUGUUCUUCUCUAAAUCCUUGACAACUUCAUUCUUCUCGAUUGGCAGGUCCCGCAGACGGUUCCAACCAAAGUCCCACACUGAGUUAGCAUCAGAAUGUGUAUGUUCAAUGUCACUGAGGAGUACCAUUUUCAAGUUUUCAGCUGUGCUAUUGUCACUCUGUUGAUGCAGUUUCCUGGGGAUGUUCAGAGACUGAAUAUCGCCGUCCAAUUCUCUGAUAAGAUCACUCAGAGUCUGUAGUUUCAGGUUAGCAGUGCGCGUCGUGCUAACGUCGACCAUCGCCUCAGUUCGUUUACCUUUCCUUCUGAUUACUUCCCGUCCUACGUCUGAAAGAACCUCGUUUCCUUUGUCUAACCACUUCCCUGUGUUAACAUGGAUAGCACUGACUGGAGCAUGGAAUCCAGUUAUCGCCUUGGCAGUUUCAAGUAAGUAGGGAUCCUUCAGCAACAUUUCCGUAAGCAAGAGUUGGUUCUCUGUGAAUGAAUCACAUGAAACAACAAUCAUCUUGUGAUUUUUCGAAUCUGUCAGGUUAUCGGGCUUCAUGAUAUGAUCCAAACCUGCAAUAAAAGAAUAAGGUUGUCCAAUGCUGGUUCAGGCAUGUAGAUUGCUCUGAAAUUCUUUCAAUUACUAUAAAGUAAACAACUGGUUCUAGUUACAAAUCAAGAGUAUGCAUACCAUUUCUUGAUUGAUCAUGCACUUCUGUCAUUUGUUGCAGUUGUUGCUCCUGCAGCUCUCCCUCAGAAAUAGUUUCUAGUAUCUGUGUAGUCUCACUGGAUGUGUGAUCAACUCUAGCAUCCUGCAUGUUUGGACCAGCAAAAUAAACAUCAUCAGCAGAUGCAAUACUUCCGUAAUAAUUACCCUAAAUAAACUUUUGUAAAAAUUCUUUUUGCAGUAAUUCAUGCAAAAUGCUCCAAUUCAUCAAACUUACAUUUUCCUCAGCAAUUGAAUCAGCAGUGGUCUGUUCAACAGUAGUGAUUGGAUCAUUGAUUUCUUCAGUGAAUUGCUUUUCAGAUUGGUCUGCUGAAAUCCCACUAGUACUGUUGCUAUCUUUCAUCUCUACCGUGGAUUGUUUGAAUACACCAUCAUCACUGGGAGUGUUGUCCAACGGUUUCGGAGCCCCAGUAUCAUCUACUUUUGUCUCCUCUGCAUUCUUCAGUUCUGUCAUUGCAAUAUAUUCAAACUUCUCUUUCGUACGCUUUGGUUCGGAUCUCAGUGGCCUCUUGUGUUCUAGAUUCUGACUGGCUGUUUCACUUUUUGUUCGGCGAUAAUUUUGACUGGCUGUUUCACUCUGUGUCGUUCGACUAUAACUCUGCACCUUCUUUUCCAUGAUGUCCAUGAUGUGUUUAUCUGUCAGCUUACUUUGUGGUUGCCUUCUCAUUUUAUCUGUCUUGGCAGUCUUUCCAUUCUUUCCUUGAGCCUUGCUUUCAGGAGUGGCAAGGUUCUCCUUGUUAAACUUCUCCCUUGUCCUCCUUGGCUUCACCUCACUGUCUCUCUGUUUUAUGCUUAUGGUUUGCUUCUUUCCGAGAUUUUGUUUAUUUUCUUGAACAAUGUCUUUCUCUUCUGUGACUGGUUUGUUCUUUGCAUUCUUCCUAAAUCUUUGAAGGAAAUUCAUCUUUUUUCCUGCACUGAUGGCUGUUUUUUGCUGGUUGCUGUCUUCAGUCAGCUUCAUGUCCUGAUGGACUAUUUUGUCAUCAACUACUUGGCUUAGACUAGCUCUUCUAUCUGUGCCUUCCUGUUUGCUUAACACCUGUCUCAUAGUUUGCCUUGUUUGCUUGUCAGACAUGAGAUGUGAAAACCUAUUCGACAGUACAGGUUCUUCAGACUUUGUCAGGCUGAUGUUCCACUCCCUUGUCUGAAAAUUCUUGCUUUGUCCUUUGGAUGGCACCCGUUCUGAAGCUAUAAUCCGUAUUGGUAAUGUGCCAACCAUCGCAUUUUUCGCCGUCGCCCUUCUUGGCACUGCUUCAGGCUUUACAAACCUCUCUGUCCCCUUGCGCUCUGCAACCGCCUUCGCCGAUGGAAGGUUCUCCAGCCCCAUCAGCUUGGCAAUCAGACUGGGCAUCCUCACCUUUGAAUCAUCCUUCUCACCACUUGUAGCAUUGCUCUUGGAAUUGUUUGUGACAGCAGUAAACUGCAAAGGUGAGCUUUGGUUUGAUCUGUAAUUCUGAGACAAGCUGUGAGGAACGAUCUGCAUAAAAGCAUCUGAUGGGCUCCUUGCAUUGUCAGCCUGCUCGGUCUCUGAAUCAUCAUCAACGAUCUCCACCAACCUUGCAGAAGCAGAACUCGUCGAAUGUGGCGUCGAGCUCUUCCAAUUCUCCUUGCCCCCCUCCAGCAGCAGAACCUUGCCUUCCCCUGAGGUUUCCAUGUAAUCCGAGGCAUCUUGGAGCAUCAUAAGCAUGCUCAGGGACUCCUCCAAGUCCAUGGCGCCUCUGAGCAGCUGCUUCCCGAUCUCAACCGAUCCUCUCCUCACGCCACCGGAGGAGUACGCCAUGAGAAUGUCGUUCAGCUUCUGGACGCCGAUCGCCACCUUGCCGACGUGCGCGCCAGGAGUCAGGAGGUGGCGCGCCUGCGUCGUCGUCCUGUCCGGCUCGCCGAAGAACAUGGAGGCCCCGGUGCCCUGACGCGCCACGAGCUGGACGUUGUGGAGCUUGCCGCUAUUGCUGAGCGCGAGGGCCAGCGCCAUCUGCAUGUCGACGCCGGUGUUGGCUGCGGGCGUCGUCCGCUUGCUGCCUCCUCCUCCUUGGAACGGCACGAUGGCGUGCGAGUGGGCAACGGGCGGUGCGUCAUGGCGGCGCGGCUUGCUGCCUCCGGCAAUGGAGCUGUUGCCUUGCCGGUACUGCAGGUGCAGAGGAAACCGGUAAGGAUCGUGAAAUGGGAGGUAAAAAAUUGAGCACAAUAAACAUAUGAUCGUUUGGGACUUUGCUGCUUACUAAUCUGUUUGUUGCAGCUUCUGAUCUUCCUACACGAGGAGCCGGAGCUGCUUGUUGUGGCUUCUGAAAUUGAAUUGGUUUCCGAGAAUUUGAAUAGGCAUCUGCAGAACAUGGACAGAUACUGAAUAAUCUACUACGUAUUGUCAAUUUGUCAUCUGAACUUGCUGCUCUUCUGAAUAAACAAAUGCAAUUUAUCUUGACGACAGACAUCCAAAAAAUGAAAUUCCAGCACAUUCAGAUUAGUAUGAUGCGUCAAAAAUAGGAACAGAUUGCAUAGUGCACACAUUAGUUGCAGAGAGAAAACACUGUAACAAAAGCAAAAACACAGUGCCAGCCACUUUCCCGAAAAAGGAAAAAGAGGGCGAAGAACACAAUGCCAGUGCAAAGCAAACACCGACGGACAAAGCCCCGGCGAGCAGGCAAAACUUACCCCGAGGCGCAGCGGUGUUCGCAGUUCCCCGCUGCGCCGGCGGCGGCGCCGACUCGAACCCGAGGCGCUCCCGGCGGCGGCGGAGGUCCUUGAGCAGCUUCUGGGCGAAGUCGGAGCCGAGAUCAGGCACCUUUGCCAUUUCCCCGCCGCGGAGGAGGAACCGAGGCCCUACUGCUCCUCCCCCUCCCCCACUGCACCAUGAACCUCUCAGUUAGGUGCGUGACAAAACGGGGCGUUCCCUCGGGUUGGUGCGCGUGGGCGUUCCAGGGCUUUCGUUGUCUUCAACCUCACCGAGUCCUGCGGCGGGGUGAGGCGGAGGGUGGGGUGUCUCGUCCGGAGAGAGCCGCCAUGUCAAUCUCUCGCACUAGAUGCUUUCGGUUGGGGGUGAGUGAGAGGAUUGCCUUGGAAGCCACGGCCUCCAUUGCUGACAGGAGCCUCUGGUUGCAUCCCCAGUUCACCCCCUUCGCAAGCAAAGCCCGGUUGAACAGAGACGUGGCAUUUGCGUUCGGAUUCUCUUGUAGCCUAGCAGUAGCUUUUGGUUAGGUGGUAGUGGGAGUGAUCUCAUUUGACCAUGAUGUGGAUUUGUCGAAACCAUAAAGGACUUUGCUGUGACAUCAUCUUUAUGGGUAUUUAUAUAUAUUUCUUGAUACGCCUUUAAGGUGGAUAGGUUAUGAUUUUUUAUUAUCUUGAAAGAAAAGAGAUAUUAGAGAGCUAAUCAAGGGGUGAUAGAUGAAGAUGUGAUUUACAAGCAUUCCUCAGUACUGCAAAAGCUUGGAAAGAUGCUUACGUCUUGUGGUACAAAGAUCUUUAUAUUUUUCUUAUUUUUUUUCAGAGUUUGAGCUUGCUAAUACAGUGUAUGAUAGGGGCAGUUAUAACAGCCUCAGUACCAAGGGGCCUACAAGAAUCACUCCAAAUUCUUUGUGCGCGACUCUGAACGGUCAUUGGUGCAAAACAUAGAGCAAAAGAAUGUGAGAUUCACUCCAGGGUCUACAAACAGGAUGCACCAUUAAUCAAUUCUAACUACCAACUUGCACACUAAAGGUUGACAAAAGAAAAUCAACACAAGAUAUGUUCUGAAGACAAACUAAACCUAAAAGGUGAGCACAGAUCACACGAUGCAGGUGCACCCACAAGAGACGGAUGGCACAAAAUCUGGAAAAAGCUCCAAAAAAACAUGAACUGGUCACCUAAUCGAGUUUUAUGUACAAGAUGGCACAUAAAUUUCCACAAUUUUUUUUGGUGCAACAUCACCCUCACACCACACAGCAAAUUGUCGGUCACUUAAGUUCCUUCAUCAACACAUUUAAUUCAAGAUCCCAGAAUGCAGAGAGAACCAUUGGACGUUCACAGUAACAGCAAGUGACUUCACUCUUAUUAUUUUGACUGGACUCAUAUUUACAUCUCAAGGAGCAAAAAUGAUUGGCAUUGCAAACAAGAAAGCAUCAGAUACCCAGAGAGACUGCAGAAAGGGAAGAACAGAAAGCCGCACUCAUCUAUGUCUAUAGCAUGGACAGGAAAGGUGGACAGUUAGCUUCCUACAAGACCAAGGUAGAUACAAAUCUACAUUCAUGGGGAUCAUUUGGCGAUCAGGGCAGUCGGCGCCUGAAGUUCCUACUGGUGCUUUGGUAUGUACGGACCAGCAAGCCGACACCCAAUCCGAUACCCACACAAACGCCAAGGCCGAUUCCAACUCCAACACGGACCCCGGCAUUAAACCAUGAAAGCUCACCGUCCUCACCCUCUAGAAAGUCCUGCCUUGAGUACAAACUGUUAUAGUCAACAUCCACAUCCGUCUCUGGUUUGGAAUCCUGGAAUUCUGAUACCUGAAGCAAGUAACAGGAAAGAUAAGUACGCUAUCAUAUGGCAGUGACAUAAAUCAUAAAUGCAUCAUGCUUUACAUAGGAUAUGUAGGACCAAGCAGCUUAAAGAAUACGUCCCAUGAACUGGCCCACAACUAUAUGUAAAUUAAUGUGCUGAAUGCUGUAUAUCCAUGAAUACAGUGAACGUUUUCUCAAUGCUGCGCAGAAGAGCUAAGAAUCUUCAUUGCUAACAUUGGACAUUAAUACCCUGAUUGUUAUAUCCAUAUUUACUGGAGAAUUUCCAUUGAGCAAUCAUCUUCCCAUAUAAAAAUAACAGUAAAGCUGGUUGUGAGAAAUCAUCUUCCCAUAUAAAAAUAACAGUACAGCUGGUUGUUCUACUAAUGAGACAACUUCUUAGCACAGCUAAUGAUCUCUCUUCACAUGUUCUAUCCGUAUGCAUUUACUGCUAAUCUCAUUUGCAGAGUUUCAGUAGACAAAAUUAUAUUGUUGCAAAUUUGCAAAUGAGAUUCCUUCGCUAAAGAUCAAAAGUGAUGGAAUGGUCAAAUUUUGAUCUCUUGAUGUUCUCAUAGGAGAUAGGACACACUGUCUUGCGGUACAGUAGAAAUCAGCUACCUAAGCUCCCAGUACCAAUGAGCAUAUGAGCAUGCCAGAGCACGUGCACUUUGAAUAUUCAACUGCUUCCCCCGGUCCUUUUAUCAGAUGAGCUGUAGACCAGCAAUCAGAUGUACAUGAAUCUGCCCAAAACAAAUUGACCGAAGGACCUACCAAUCCAAGUGCACCUCACAAAAGGUCUCAUUGCAAGAUAGGUACUAGGCUGAUGUAAUGGCUGUUAUGAGGUUCACUAUUAUCUCCAAGUCAUCCUCGUAAAAGAGUUACCAUGAAGCAAGACAGCAACAACAUUCAGUUUUUCGUUUCUUUUUUAUUAAAAAAAUUGUUCUAGGAGCAAAUGCACUAUACGGCCAAUCAACCAUGAUACCAAUAUCCGGUAAACUCUCUUUCAGGAGAAUAAGUUUGCACGAAGCUAUGUAUAAAGUGGUUUGGUGGCCCGUGGGCAUCAACAUGAGAAAUGAAACAAAUAUGGAGAUAUGUAACUAUACUUAAAUAACACCAACAUAGCAACACAUAUAUACAUCGGAAAAAAGUUAAUUGAGCAAUUUUAUAGAAAUAUUUCUUGUCACAUGUAGGUUGAGCAUGGUCAAAUCGACUAAACCAACAAGUUAACAGUAAACAAGUUACAUCAUAGCUGUUCCCUUGUGGUGAAUAAUUCACAUUUGUCUCAUAAAUCAUAACUGCGGUAAGUGGGAAAGUCUCUUAAAGCCAAAAUAGUUCAGAACCCCCAAGUUUCAAGCACAAAAGUUUGUAUGCUUCAGGCUAAAAGCGCACAUAUGAGAUCGUAGUUGGAUAAAAGCAUUUGAGAAUGGUCACGGUACAGAUGGUAAGUACCUUCAAAGAGUCUUCAGCAGACUCUUCUUUCUGUUGUUCAGUUGCCUCAUUCUCAGGGAUGGAAUCAAGCUUUAGUUUCAUUUCAGACUUCCUCCGUGAUAUAAGCUGGAUUGCCUUUGUUAAUAUGAUAGGUGUGCCAGAGAAAGUGCCAGCAACAUAAACUUCAAUCACUGGCUGUACAUAUUCCGAGCCUGUGGAGAGUUUUCCCUUCAAGAAGCCAUUACAUGAUGUUGAUGAUUGACAUUUCAUAUUCCAUUUCUUGCUACUGUUCUUUGAUUCCCCAACUACUCCAUUGGCAUUGGACAAAUCCAAAUCUCCUGUGAGCAAGAGAUCAUUCUUAUCAAAGACCUGGAACCUCACACUCCCUGUCAUCCGUAUAUUAUCCGUGCUCACAAAUGUAGCUUCCUCAGUCUUUUUGUCAACCCUGUCCCUCCUGAGUGACGAGGAUAUAAACUCAGUGUGCAUGCUGCUCCGCUGGCCAUUCACCUCAAUAACCGUAUCAGGCGACAAAGGGAUGUGGUUGAGCGUGAGAUGCUCCGGUGCAGACUCAUCAACCACACAAUUGCUCACCCUAAUGUAGAACACCUUCAAGUCAAGCCAAGGUGAAGACCUGGGCGCAUAAAGUGGGUGCAUAAUAAUCUUCCUCGCCGCCUCAAAAGCCACCCCGUCACCCAUCUUUCUAUAUCUAAUUGAGACAGAUUCUUAUCGCAUUGACACAGACAUAAAUAUGUAGACACACUACCAGAGCCUCUCUAACUGCAGCCUCAAGGACAGUUCAAUUCUAGUACCUGCAAAAGCAACACGGCAAAUGUUUAGUGCAAUAGAAAUCAACAAAGGAAUCUUUUGUUAGACUGAAGCAACACAAACAUAAACAUGCUAACUUGGCCACAAAUUUACCCACCAGACCAAGAUGUCAAAUUUUGCUAGACUUGUAUUGGAAGCGGGACCAAUUGACAACAAAUGCAACUAUAAUUAACUCCAUAACGUAACAGUUAGAACUCUAGUUCCAAUAUCUAGAAGUAAUAGUGACCAAUCAAAUCGCUACCACGCACACAUAAUCCGAACAGAAAAGGAUCAAUUCUCCUAAUCGAAUCCCUAAAGGGAGCGGAUUUAACGUGGGGCUGAACCUCCAAAGAAAUUUAGAGAACAAAACAGGAUUUAGCAAUCCACCGCGCAGCAAAGAAAUCCCCAAAUCAGCGAACUGCAAUAAUUAGAGUAUCCAUUCCAGAAAUUAGAGAAGGAUUUGGAUUCUAUUGCUCUAAUCAAAGAGAGAAGACCAGGACCAAGCUGACUCUUAGAACAGUCGAUCCAAGCACGAUAAGGGUUCCUUACCACGACGGAUGAAUCAACCCAGGUCCGGAUCGAUCGGCGCACCUGGGGCAGCAGCAGCGCGCAAUAGGCAGCGGGCAGCGACAACAGGAGCGGAAUUCCAGCCGACGAGCUCCCGUCGCAGGAGCCUUCGGGAUGCGUGCGGCGGCGAGGUCAGGCGGAAUGGUUCGUUGGGCGAUGCCGGAAGCCGGGAUGCGGGGCACGCGGACGAGGGGAGGAACAAGGUCGGGGGACGGCAAUGGAUGAUGGAGACAGUAUUUCUUAAAAGAAAAUCUAGUUUGUUUGAAGGGGGUAGAUUUAAUAAAAAUAUUUUUUUUCAGCCACUUAAUCUCCGUCAGAAGUUUCCCUCACUUCCUCUGUCUCCGUUUAUAACAUGGCUUCAGGCCACUUAUUUUUUAUAUCUUGUCAAGAUAAUUGAAAUCCUAUAAAAUUUAUUUUGGUCUAAGAAACUGUAAAUAAAUAAUUUUUUCCAAUCCACAUAAAAGUUCAUCAGAACACUACUCAUGCACAGAAGAUCAACGGCUUUCGCCAUCCGAGCCCACAGAUCCAGCGGACCAGAUUUUUGCCGACAUCCAUUGCCCGCACACGUGGAGUGGGGGAUGUGGCCACUGCCACUUCACGCCUCAAUUAGUCAAUUCAUCCACUCAAUCCUCCAAAAUAUCUCUCUCCCAUCUCCAUCGGUCCCAGAAUUUGAUUAAUUGCGGCAGAAAUUUUUCUUGUGUUUUUUUUUCCCUCUUCCUCCUGUCCACAAGGUGGGUUGCCCGUUUGGAUUCAACAGUCAGGUCAACAGGGAUAGAGUGGUGGGAAAUGCUUGUCAUGAUGAACAUUAAGAGAUUUUUCUAGAUUUCUUGGUCAUUGAUGAGCAGCUAAGAAGUUUUCCCAGUUUUGUUCAAAAUUACCUCGUAUCUCAUCUAGGCUAUGAUUUACGAACGAACAUCAGAAAAUCAUCUCUCCCUUUUUUUUCUACCCCUUUGGAGACAUAGUGGAAUGAUUCUAGUCAUUGUAUCGACAACCACCAUGGUGUGGUUGGUUAGAAUGCUUUGUGACAUCAUUUUCAUUACACGCCCAGCUGCACUCUUUUUUUUUUCAUUCAAAUUUCUCACAGAAAAAGGUGGAUGUUGUGUAGUAGUAGUAGCAUCUGUUAGGAAAAGGCAUAAAUGAUGUUUACUCUGACCCUCAGUCAUUUGCUGUAAUUAACACGAGUAUUUGAUGCAAAAUUUCCAUCUGAAAAGUGAAAAGGAAGAGAGGACCAGCAAGUCAUCCAUUGUUCCACAGAGCAAGUUCCACAUGGAUGACUUCCGGCAGUGUUUCGACUCACGACACAAACUAUAUCGGAACAGAGGUAUUGCAUAGCCAAUUGCAAACAUCAGAACACACUUUCUUACUAACUAUGGACUUUAGAGGGCACAAAGCGCACCGCGCGGUUCCUCUUCUUGUGAGUUCCCUCAAAGCAGAUAGCAAAUGAUAGAGCAGCUGACCAAAAACAAUACUGUAUAACAAGAACAUGACUAACUUCUGGUAUAACGGGCAGUGAUACAGGAAUUGGGAACCUAACAUAACAAGAACAUAAUUGACUUAUGGUAGGAAUUGGGAACCUAACAUAACAAGAACAUAAUUGACUUAUGGUACAAAUAAUCAACAAAGAUAAGUUUUUACAGCAUACUACCCUUGCUUUGGAGUGCUAAUGUCACAUACGCAGGCACACACGAACUCUGGUCAUAUUCUGGGAUGCAUACAUUUUAAACGGCAAAAAGGAUGGCUUGGGCAGUUAAUUUUAUGUUGCCAGAUACGGCAUACAGGGCAAACUACAGCAUGCACGAUUAUUACUGUACAGCAGGCAGGUUGUGACUUGCGAAGCAGGAUGGAAUAAGUUAAUGUGAGUAUGGAUCAUUGGAGCAUAAGCAUUCAUCAACCAACUGGCGUAGGUUGGGGUUCUCCAAGGCUGCUGCAACUCUUUCCUUGUCGUUCAGUUGCUUGUUUACUGCCAUUUCAUACACAAUCACAUGUUAAAUAUUUAAAAGUCACAUUUGCAAUUGCAUUAUACGAUGUUGGUAUUCUGCUGAUAGAAAAGGCGCCUGGUAAAGGUGGCCUACUACGGUAGAAUGUCAUAUGAUUUGAAAAUAUUCAGCAGUAUAUUCUUGUGCAGACAAACAAAGAAAAAUAUGCAAACAGAUGCUAUAGUCUAACAAAAAAAUAGCCUGGUACUUUGAUAACCUAGUACUGAAACAAAGAUAAAUGAAGAAAAACACAUUAUUGCACGGAGUCUACUAGUUACAUGUUAGUCUGGACAGAAUGGCAUCUCUGCUGAUAGGCUGCAACAUAUCAUCUCUUACCAACCUUUAAAUGUGCUGCCCUUGUUAUUCUUUUAAAUACGUUUACCAAAUAAUGCUUAGUAUGGUGUUCAAGAAUAGGAACAAAGACUGGCUAUCACAUUUUGAUACGUCAAAACAGAUUUAUGGUGAAAAAAGAUUUUAUGAAAGUAUGUGGGCCCAAGGAUAGUGACUGAGCCAAAUAAUAUUUUAUUCUAAGAUAUUAGCCUGUAUAUCAGUUAGAAACUUGCCAAUGCACACACCUGAUUCUUCAUUGGCAAGAGACCCCGGGGCAACUUUGAUGUCAACCUGCAAAAUUAGUCCAAAGGUAAAGGAUUGCAUAAAUCCUUGAUGUCUGAAUUCAACAUAAAUUAGAAUAACUGUGUAAAAGGGGUGCUACGCUGAAUUAGUGGUGAUUGAACACAUUCCAGUAAAACAGUACCAUUUAUAAAGUGGGGUCUGCCAUAUUCUGUAAUGACCAAUGCUCAGAGAAAGUGAUAAAAUAAAGAAAAACUGGCUGCUCAGUUGCAGCAUAGUUACUGAAGGCCAACCAGCCAAUAGACUUUCAUAGGAUAGGGAAAGCCAAUGUAAGGUGUAAAUACUGUAUUAUACCAUCCUAUAUCAAUUCAAAAUAAAUAGUCAUUAUUGCUAACUAGGCACUUGUCUUAAAAUUUUGAGGCUCAAAAAGGAUCCAAGCAACUAUAUUAUGAAAACCAGCCAAUGGGCUCCUGCUCUGAUUUAGUUUCAUUCUUGUGUCUCUGGCUGUAUUUCAUCUGGAAAUAUUGCAAGAUUGCCCUCCUCUCCGUGAUCGAACUCAGAUGGUGUCAUAUCAAAGGAUGUGCUGGGCAAUGCUUGUCAAGUGUUUUAGAAGGAAGCCAGGAAAGGGCAGUUGAACAUACCAAGGUGUAAGCGUGUAACAGGACAAUUGCACAUAUUAUUCAACACACCAGUUGGUACUUAGCAGGCUCUUCUUUUCUAUGUGAUAAGAAGGAUGUGGAAGUCUUGCCAAUUUUCUAGCUGGAACAGCAUUGACUUGCAAAAAAAAUGCACAUGUUAUGUCACACUCACGAGACAUACAAAAAAAACACGCUAAUUCAGCGUACCAGAUUAACAUUUUACAAAAUUCCCCUAUAUGUAUCCUGCAGUACUGGCAGAUAAGUGGCUUUUUACAGAAGCAUAGGCGCUGGACUGAUGGAGCAAGGAUGCGUGGUUCCUUAAAACAUACAUUUGCAAUCAGAAACAGAGGGGAACCAAGUUCAGGAAUCAGCAAUGUGCAAGACUAAUACUCUCAUCCGAUUGAUCAGGAUUGUGGCGCUGCUGGAGCGGCUGGUUUGGGAGCAUUUAGAAGAGGCUGGAUUGCCUUCACGACGAUGGUCAUGUUCGGUCGGAAGUCGGAUUCAUACUGAACGCACAACGCUGCAACAGCUGCCAGCUAAAAAAUGAAACAACAUCAGUGAGUCCCUGUAGCAUAUCUGGCAAUGCAUUCCUGAAAACAGAUGAUCCAUGCGUGAGAAGUUUUUCUUGUGUACCUUUGCGACAGCCUUUGGAGGGUAGUCGUUGUUGAGCUUGGGAUCAACACACUGCUUCACUUUAUCUUCACUCAACCUUGGAGUGGCCUACUCGCGCGAUUGUUAAGACAUUCAGAGUCAUCAGGAGAUUGGCAUUCUGCAUAUGAGUUUCAAGAAGGGGAUGAACAAAAGAUAUUACCCAAGUAACAAGACUUUGCUGCCCUUUCGGCAUGGUGUGAUCGACCGGUUUCCUUCCUGUCAGUAGCUCUAGGAGAAUCACACCAAAACUGUAUACAUCACUCUUUUGGUUGAUUUGGCCCGUCAUAGCAUAUCUGAGAAAAUGAUUCAAACACCAAUUUGAGUGAGGCUAAUGCUACAAAAGCAGGGCGACAAAUUGUUAGCCAAUGUUAUUCUGCAUCGUCUUACUCUGGGGCAUGGUAUCCAAACGUUCCUAGCACACGGGUUGAGUGCAACCGGGCAGCGGUGUCGGUCCCCUGGUUGGUCAGGUUGAAAUCAGCAAUCUUGGAGCUGAAGUCGUCGAAUAUAAGAACGUUGCUGGACCGAAUAUCUCGAUGCACAAUCGACGGCUGGACUUUCUCGUGGAGGUACUCUAGCCCUCUCGCCGCUCCGUAAGCUAUCUUCACUCGCUGCAACCAGUUCAGGACCGGACCGGGCUCGGCACCCUGAACUCCUUUCUUCCCUGCACAACAAUCCUGGAAUCAAUAUGCCGUCUCAGCAGAUCAGAGCUAGUGAAAUCAGAGGAGACGACGUACACACCGUGUAGUAUGUUAUGCAAAGAACCCAUGGUGGCAAACUGAUAGGCCAGCAUGCGGUUGCCAUCCUCCAAGCAGUACCCCACGAGCUCGAGGAAGUACUCGUUCUUGAGCUUGGAGACCAUCGCUAUCUACGGCGUAAAGACGAUCGAGGCAAGCAAGAACACAGGCAGCGUUAGGGAGGAGGAUGAACGAUAAGGACUCUUGCGUUGUCGUCGGAAGGAAAGAAGAUGAUGCACGGUGAUCGAGGUACCCACUUGCGCGGCGAAGUCGGAGUCGGAGUCCUGCGAUGCGCUGGUGUCGAGCUUCUUGAUGACGGCGGCGCGGCCGUCGCUGAGCGUGGCGUUGUAGACGCGGCCGUAGGAGCCCUCGCCGAUGAGGGCGCGGUCGCUGAAGUUGUUGGUGAUCUUCUUGAGCUCGUCGAAGGGUAUGGCGGGCACGUCGAUGCUGACGGGCUUGGCGGGGCCCCCGGGCCUGGGCGCGCCCGGCCCCCUCGGCCCGCCUCUGUUGCCUGCAUCCAUCCAUGGAUCAAGAAGGAGGCGGCGGAGGUGUCAGAUCAGUGACGCGAUCGAGCUCAUCGAUCGACAACCCGUGCGUGCGUUACGCGAACACGAUGACUUGUACCGUACCGGGGGCGUUGGCAUUGGGUGGCGGAGCCGCCUGGUUGGCCGGCGGGCCGUAGCUGUCCUCCUCGGCGCCUCCGCAGCAAGACAUCUCUGGCUCCUCUCCUCCUCCUCCUCCUCCUCCUCGCCGGACUGGAUGACGACGAUGCGCGGGGUUGAUUUGGGGGCGGUCAGCAGAUCAUGCCGCACGACCUGGAUUCAUUCGCCAUUUUGUGCCCCAGCAUCACAGGACAGAUGAUCACAUUCUCUUAUCAGAGAGAGGAACAGCACAAAUUAUUUGAUUUGCUAACGAAAAGAAAUCGAAGAUCGGAAACGGAUUCGUUGAUGGAUAUGAUCCCCAGAUCGAGAGAAAUCGGCAACAAGCAGAUCGAGGAUCCAGAACCAAUGCGGACAUGCGUGAUCGAUGGUGGAAAUAAAGCUAGCUCAUGAAUUACCUCCCCAAAAGCAAGCUCCGGCGGCACCUACGAGCGAGAAGCAGGGCCGGAGGGAGCGCAGGAGAACAGCCGCGGCGUUGGUGCCCGGCCGCGGGGGUAGGGUGGAGAACGAUGAAAGAUUAGUGGUGGCGAGCGGUGGGAGCUCCCUUUUUCCGCGGGAAAGGAGGCGUCCCGCCCGUUUUAGCUGCUGGAUCGAUCCAUCCGUCGCCCCGGGCUGGCGCGCGAUCCAACUUGUUUCCUUGUGCGCGGGCGCCCCCGGCCGCUAUUAUUGGCAGGGCAUGCGGAGCAGAAAUGCAUUGCUAUAAUUGGCCGUGCAGCCCGCAGCCCGGCACGGAGCUGUUUUUUUUUGCCCCGGCCCGUGACCCUUUGAACUCGGGCUGGCUCAGCCCGGUGGCUCGUGCUGGGCGUAGGCUAGCACCUCAGCACGGCGAGCAACACGGCGGUAUAUCAAAAUCUUCCAUGAAUGUUAUAUUGCAGCCUUGCUUGGUUCUCUUGCUCUGGUCCACACAAUGUUCAUGGAAUUUUAAAUAUGCAUAUAUAUUAGGUUAUGAUGAACAGCAUUAACUAUCAAAUGAUAGAUCAAAUCCUGCCACUCCGACUGAGUAUUUCAUAAUAUACAAUGAUAGAAGUAAACUGAAUUCUAAAGCAUAUCAACUGGUCAUCGUAAUAAGAAUUCCAGAAACAGGGAAAUAUACCCUGAAUUAUAAAGCGUCUCAACUGGUCACCAUAAUAAGAAUUCCAGAAACAGGGAAACAUAUAAGCACCUUGAAAUGUGGAGGGAAGUUCUGCAUCAACUUAAGUCGGAGGCACAGACCAAUUACUGUGGCCAUACUGCAGUGCUGCACAGUUGGAGUGAAGGUUAUCCUGCAGGAAAUUGCAAGAUUUAAGCAAUUGAUGAAAAUAAGUUGAAGUUAGAUAUGGUUCUCCAUAUUCCUACAGUCAGGCAGUUCGGGUUCUUUUUUUCAGGUCAAGAUGAAGUUAACACAAGAUGCUCCCAAAUAACUAAAGAAAACCUCAAUACCUCACACCUUGAGAGUGUGUAUCAUGAAUGGACAUGAUUAGCAGACAACAGGGUCAGGGAAACUGGCAAAUGCAUGCACAUAACCAUGGAUGCUAAAAAAAUAGAUGAAACAGCUCAGAUCUAUACACCUCCCAGAGCAUCUCCAAAAGUCUUCCUAUUAAACCUCCUAUAGUCAAAUUUAGGAUUUUAGGAGAAAAAUCACCCUCACCAACAGUCCCCCUAAAUCACCUCCUAUAUUUAGUGGCAUCCUAAAUCACCUUCCCUCCCUCUCAAAUCUAGGAUCAUCCAGCUGGCACCCUAUCUGCUGGGCACGCUUUUUUCCCGCCCUGCACCUUCCUCGCCAUUUUCCCCUUACCUCCUGCGCAUUGUGCCGCCCCAACGGCUGCCCCGCACACUGCACCUCCCAUAACUGCAGGCCUGCACUUUGUUUCGUAUUUUUAUUGCUUGAGAUGUUCUACCCUUUGGGCAGUGAUGCACAUGUAGUAUUGAUAUUAUCAUUCCAUCAACUUUUGUGCUCUCCAUUUCAGGUAGCAAAAGGCCAAGGAUAACAAAAUGUGGAAGGGGUUGGACGACCACUUCUGCAGGUGGGAAAAAUCAUGUCAGUGGGGGGCGAUCCGAUCGGCGACCAGAUCAAUGAAAAAUGUGGACCCAGAUUGUUUACAUGGCAUGUUUUAAAACGUAGGAGGUUGAGAUAUAGGGGGGAAGUCACGUCAGUUUUUUUUUUGGUUGGGGGGGGGGGGGGGGUCUGAUCAGUGAAUAGAUCAAUGGAAAUUGUGGACCCAGAUUGUUUACGCGGCAUGUUUUUAAAAUAUAGGAGGUUGAGAUAUAGGGGGGAAAUCACGUCGGUGGGAGACUAUCCCAUCGGCGACCAGAUCAGUGAAAAUUGUGGACCCAGAUUGCUCACUUGGCAUGUUUUAGGAUAUUUUUUUUUAGUAUGACACCUAUAUGAGAAAGUAGGAGAUCAAAUUUAGGAGAACUCUUGGAGAUGCUAUCACAGACCCACUAGCAAGCAUAGCUGCAUAGGCAAUUCCCACAUAACCUGCUCAACUGAUCGUACUUCAUACAUUCAUACUCCAAUAUCAACAAGGACAAGGAGAGAAGAGAAAUAAUACAUCUAGGUGCCUACUGUCUUAUUUCUCUUGUCAAGAAGCAAUUCUAGAUCCAGCAAGCCAGAUUGUGCACGUGUUCCACAAUCCAAGCACAAACCCGCAAAGGCUCUGAGAAUUCAGAGAAACCUAAGAGGCCCGCCAAUAUGUCUUAAUCGCCACAAAGUGCUCAAUCCCUAACGACAUACCCUAGUCACAAGAUGUGAGAGUUCAUUCCGCAUCAACCACAUUUUUAAGGACAUUACAAGGGCAACAACAGAGUGCGAGGAUAUAAAGUCAGCAUACAGCAUACGUACUGGAUGCGCCCGAGCUUCUCAUCGACGGAGAUGGACUCCUGCGAGAGCACGCUGAGCUGCUCCAGCGAGUACGGGUGCUCCGGGUCCUUGAUGUCCCGCACCGUAUCUGACGCGCCGCGCCACGAAAGCACACACAUCCAUCAGCUCCAGCUACUCCGCGAAGCUAUGAACUAGCUGAGCAAGAACGGAAGAGAAGAAACCGAGCGAGGUGGACUCGCGAGGAGAGGACUGUGUUGCCGUACCGAAGACGUCGAGCGGGUCGAGCGCGUCGCCGGCGUGCGGGUGCGCGGCGCGCUCCGUCCGCUCGUGCACCACCGGGUUCGCGUUGAUCAUGCCCACCGUCAUCUUCCUCCUCCCCUUAAAUCGGAUGCGGUGGUGCGAAUUGAUUUGGGAGAGCAGAAUGGAGGAAGAGGGGAGAAGUGGAGAAGACAAGACGACGACGACCAAAAAAAAAGUUUCUAUGUCGGGUACCAUUGGCGCACAGUACACUUCCUGACGCGUCAAGUGGGCCAGCUCGUCUCCAUCUCGGCCCAUAAAGUCCCCAUAUCAGUCAGCCCGUAAAGAAAACGGUAAAGGUCCCAAUAUGGGCCUCGGCUCGGAUCACCCAAGCUCUUCUUCUUCCAGGACAUGCAAAAUGCCGCCCUGGCUGCCGGGGCCGCCGCGGCGCGGCCGGCGGCCAUGGCAGCGGCCGCCGCGGCCAGCGACCACUACGCGCGGCUGCUACAGCUUUGCCAGACCGCGGCGAACCCUUCGGUGGGCCGGGCCAUCCACGCGCACGCCAUCAAGGCUGGGCUCCUCGUCAGCGCAUACCUCUGCAACAACCUCCUCUCCUACUACGCCGGCGCCGGCGUGAUUGGUGGGCCCUUCCGAGAUGCGCGGCGUCUGUUCGACGAGAUCCCGGCGGCGCGGCGGAACGUGUUCACCUGGAACUCGCUCCUGUCGUUGUACGCCAAGUCUGGCCGCCUCGCGGACGCCCGCGCCGUGUUCGCCGAAAUGCCCGAGCGGGACGCGGUCUCCUGGACCGUCAUUGUCGUCGGGCUCAACCGCGCCGGCCGCUUCUGGGAGGCCGUGAAGACGUUUCUGGAUAUGGUUGGUGAGGGGCUGACGCCGACACAGUUCACGCUCACGAACGUGCUCUCGUCGUGUGCCGCGACGGAGGCCAGCGGGAUUGGGAGGAAGGUCCACUCCUUUGUCGUCAAGCUCGGGCUGAGUAGCUGUGUGCCCGUGGCCAAUUCGGUGCUCAACAUGUACGGCAAGUUUGGCGAUGCUGAAACAGCAAAGGCUGUGUUUGAGAGGAUGCCGGUGCGUAGCGUAUCAAGCUGGAAUGCCAUGGUGUCGCUGUACGCCCGCGAGGGUAGAAUGGACCUUGCUGUGUCCAUGUUUGAGGACAUGGAAGAACGAAGCAUUGUCUCUUGGAACGCCGUCAUAGCAGGGUACAACCAGAAUGGGCUUGAUGACAUGGCACUGAAGUUCUUCUCGCGAAUGCUGAGUGAUUCUUCCAUGGAUCCAGAUGCAUUCACAGUAACCAGUGUCUUAUCAGCUUGUGCUAACCUUCGCAUGCUGAAGAUGGGGAAGCAGAUGCACUCUUAUAUCUUGAGAACUGGAAUGCCAUACAGCGGUCAGAUCACAAAUGCUCUCAUCUCAACGUAUGCAAAGUCCGGAAGUGUUGAGACUGCAAGGAGGAUCAUGGACCAAGCAGUGAUUUCCGAUCUGAAUGUUAUCUCCUUCACUGCUCUCCUGGAAGGUUAUGUCAAGCUAGGGGACAUGAAGCAGGCAAGGGAAAUCUUUGACGUUAUGAACAAUCGAGAUGUCAUUGCCUGGACUGCAAUGAUUGUUGGCUACCAGCAGAAUGGUCAAAAUGAUGAGGCCGUGGAGCUCUUCAGGUCAAUGAUCAAAAGUGGCCCAGAACCAAACAGCUAUACGCUUGCUGCUAUUCUUAGUUCCUGUGCAAGCCUGGCAUGUCUUGAUUACGGAAAGCAGAUCCAGUGCAGGGCUAUCAGAUCAUUACAGGAGCAAUCUGUUUCUGUCAGCAAUGCCAUUAUCACAAUGUAUGCAAGGUCAGGCAGUGUGCCACUGGCGAGAAGGGUGUUUGAUCGGAUUCGCUGGCGCAAAGAGACAGUCACAUGGACAUCGAUGAUCGUGGCUUUGGCACAACAUGGUUUAGGAGAAGAAGCUGUUGGCCUUUUUGAACAAAUGCUUCGUGUUGGUGUGAAACCAGACCGCAUAACUUACAUUGGCCUGUUUUCAGCUUGCACACAUGCUGGUUUUGUUGACAAAGGGAAGAGGUACUAUGACCAGAUGCAGAAUGAGCAUGGCAUUGUACCAGAAAUGAGCCACUACGCGUGCAUGGUCGACCUCUUUGCCCGUGCUGGCCUGCUCACAGAAGCUCAGGAAUUCAUUCAACGAAUGCCUGUCGCGCCAGAUGCAAUAGUCUGGGGUUCACUCCUUUCAGCUUGCAGAGUGCGAAAGAAUGCAGAUUUAGCAGAACUCGCAGCAGAGAAGCUGCUGGCGAUUGAUCCGGAUAACAGUGGCGCCUACUCUGCUCUUGCCAAUGUCUAUUCUGCCUGUGGGAGGUGGAAUGAUGCGGCAAGGAUCUGGAAGCUGAGGAAGGACAAGGCAGUGAAGAAAGAGACUGGUUUCAGCUGGACUCAUGUACACAACAAGGUCCACGUCUUUGGAGCAGACGAUGUACUGCAUCCACAGAGGAAUGCGAUCUACAAGAAGGCAGCUGAAAUGUGGGAGGAGAUCAAGAAGGCAGGAUUUGUCCCCGACCUGAACUCUGUCCUGCAUGACGUCGAUGACGAGCUGAAGGAGGAGUUGCUGAGCCGCCACAGCGAGAAGCUUGCCAUUGCGUUCGGUCUCAUCAGCACGCCGGAGAAGACGACACUACGAAUCAUGAAGAAUCUCCGGGUUUGCAAUGACUGCCACAUGGCGAUCAAGUUCAUCUCCAAGGUUGUUGAGAGGGAGAUCAUAGUGCGAGAUGCGACGAGAUUUCAUCAUUUCAGAGAUGGGUUCUGCUCCUGUAAAGAUUAUUGGUAGGAAACCUUGUGUCGCAAGUUGAAUGCGAGAAAGAAAUGUUCCUUUUCUUUAUGAUUCCUACGUUGUGGGCUGUGUGCAAUAAAUUCUGGAGUCAAUGGUCGAUAUAUGUAACUUAACCAUUCAGGUUAGAUGGCUAACUUUGUAAUAUGUCAUGCUAACUUUGGGUGACAUUGUUUUAUUGUCAGAAAGCGUAAGGGCAUAGAACAUGGAUUACGUGUGUACCUUGGAUCUAUUCAUUGUUUUGUAAACGCAGUAACAAUGAUACUGUUAAUGUGAAUAUUCAUCAUCUUCCCCCUCAAUUUCAGUUUAUGCACAUAACUCUUAAAACUUGAGGAAAUGUUUACUGUUGUUCAUGUUAUCAUCCUUUCCACGAAGGAUUGUUGCAUUAUACCGAUGUUUUCUUUGAUUUAUUGGUUUUCGGAGAAUCAUGGUCACGUCAACAGAAAGAAACUAUGGCAGUUCGGCACAAAAUUUCAAAAAUCGAGUCAUCAAAAGGGCUUGCAAGUGCAAGCAACUCAUAAGGUGAUACUGCAUGGCCCAACUGAUACAAACAUGUCCACUGAUGGAAAAUCCAAGCAAAUGUCCCUAGAACAACAAAGCACUUGUUGAAGCUUCAAGAACACCAGGAUCUUAAAAGCAUAAUUGUAGCAUGCCAACUCACUAAAUCUGUGUUAGUAAGAGUGCUGAACAUAGUGAACCUAUUCCAAGGAACAGAAUGGUGAUCCUUCAAAAUGGUCAUGAAUGUUAAUCGCUGAGAUUGACCUCACUCAGAGCCCACAUCAACACCCUUCUUUGCUAAGAAUUCCUUUGCUUCCACAAUAUCCUGAACAGUAAGCCAAGCUCAAACAUGUCAGUAAACUGAGUAUAUGGCCUUGCAGCGUGCGCGCGCGCACACAAACACCAUUUGGCAUGGAUUUCUUUGUCAUGGUCAGCAUGAAGAUCUAUAUGACGUGCUGGAAAGAAAGCUCAACAAGUUUCCACAGUUCCUUGUUUAGUCAUGGAUAUAUUAAGAAACAUAGUCCCUGGAACUAAAAUAGCUAACCUGUUGUAGUAGUAUAGCUUCUUGAGGACAAGUUGGGAAGAACAUAAGUCCAAAUCCAACCAUAAAAAGUCCGUAACAUCCAAGAGCCACUACCAAGUAGAUGGGGAGCUGAAACAGCAACAGCAAAAUUCAUAACACAUUACCAAUCACCUUGCAGUAUAUUUUUGAGAAAUUUACAAGUGAAAACCAGUGACACUGACCAGCCAAGUAUAACUUCGAGGAAUAGUUGAGGUUUCAAGGAGAGCAAUCCAGAUGGAUGAGAUCGCUACCAGUAUUGCAACAAUCUUGAAUAUGUGCUUCAUUUGGGAAUGGUGUGCUUUCCUACAAUACAAAAUAUAGCUGAAUGCUAUGGACAAUCAAUUCGUUUUCCUAACACAUAAGCAGUUGCACAGUUUAAUUUGACACAUGUUUAUGCUGGCAGUUGUGGGUUUUUCUACCACACUCUAGAUGUAUUUAAGCUGGGAAAAAUGCAUAUAGACCAUGAACAAUCCACACCAGUCAAGGAAUCCAGUGGGCUGAGGAAUAGAUAUCAAAAAGAAGGAUCAAGCACAUCUAGAUCGAGCGGUGAUCCUAUACACCUUUUGGUUGAAUAGCACCUAAGCAUGUGGAUUGUUGUGGGAGUCUUCGUAAUUUCGUCAACACAUCUAGCUCACUCAGGAGCAUUAACUCAUGCUUGUGAUUUUGUGCAUGCUUGUCAGUACUCAAGUCUAACUCAUGGGAUGAUAAGUUGAUCCUGGAAGCACUCACGUGAGAAGGUUUUUUUUCCCCUUUUGUUCUAGUAGGGGUUAAAAGCAAUCAUAGGUGAGCAGGGAUAAAUCUACAGAGGGACUGUAGUAACAUACACUGGACUGUGGAUCUGUCCUUUGCAAAUUUCAAUGACAAAUGGCCAAUUUCAUAGAUAGGCAGUAUAAUUGUAUGACUCAGUGAGAUAGGCAAAUUUCAAUGACAGAUGCAGAUUUAGAGAACAAAACAGGAUUUAGCAAUCCACCGCGCAGCAAAGAAAUCCCCAAAUCAGCGAACUGCAAUAAUUAGAGUAUCCAUUCCAGAAAUUAGAGAAGGAUUUGGAUUCUAUUGCUCUAAUCAAAGAGAGAAGACCAGCACCAAGCUGACUCUUAGAACAGUCGAUCCAAGCACGAUAGGGGUUCCUUACCACAACGGAUGAAUCAAUCCAGGUCCGGAUCGAUCGGCGCACCUGGGGCAGCAGCAGCGCGCAGGAGGCGGCGGGCAGCGACAACAGGAGCGGAAUUCCAGCCGACGAGCUCCCGUCGCAGGAUCCUUCGGGAGGCGUGCGUCGGCGAGGUCAGGCGGAAUGGUUCGUUGGGCGAUGGCGGAAACCGGGAUGCGGGGCACGCGGACGAGGGGAGGAACAAGGUCUGGGGACGGCAAUGGAAAGUAUAAAUAGGGCGUUCUUUCCCUCCUAGCUAUAGGUUUCUCAUGUAGAAAAUUGCAAAUUGUAGAAUUAUUUUUGUGAAUCAAACCAUUUUAUGUUUGAUCAAAAUUGUAGAGAGGUAUUACAAAGAUUUAGGCACCGAAUAGAUAUACUGUGAAAAUAUAUUUGAUGAAGAAUCUAACAGUACUUAUUUGAUACGUUAGUACUUUAUUGUAUAAAUGGUCAAACUUGAGAUAUUUGAUUUUAAAAAAAAAUUAGAAUGACUUACUACGCUAGUAUAAAUUUGGUCAAACUAUCAAGCUACAUUGGUAGGUUGGAUCUAAAGGAUCUACUGUGCUCUCAAAUAGAGAUAAGCUGCUAGACUAUGUCGGAUAAUAAAUUCAAUAAUUAAAAGAAAAACUAAUGCAGUGGCAUAGGUUCUGGAGCAAUGUGUUAAAAUCAUGAUCAAAUAAAGAGAGGGGUGGCUCGAUUUCGACAGCGGGAAGGAAAGGAAGGGGUGCAAUGGCAGAUUCAGUGAUCUCGUAACUGACCCAUCCAUCUCUACCCUCUAAAUCCAAUCCAAUGGCUGUCCUUCGUCUUGGAUCAAAAGAAAGGAAAAAAGUUGUUGAACCCACCUGUCAGAAUCUCCUCCUUCCCGACUCGUCCGACGAGCCGCGUUGCGACAUGUUACACGGAUACGUCAAAGUGGUCACGUAUCAACUCGACAACUCGCAUAACAGUACAUAAUUUACACUGCUUUUCAAAAUCUCAGUUGUAAAUUUGCGCGGUCAUCGAUCAAUUAGGGAACAAAAUGCACGUACCAAUAAAAACGAUAAAAAUGCAUCUCCGGAAAGUAAAGUCGCACAAAAAGAGAAAAAUACAUGGACUUGGAAGCCCCCCACUUCAAAAAUUCUUGCUUCCACAAUUUUAGCUUCUAUAUAAAUUGCAGUAACAUAGGCCUGUCUUUUGGCAGCAAAAAAGCUUCAUGUUUCUCCAGAAGAUUGGUGUACAUUGCCGUAUGCUGACGAAUUAACCUUUGAGUGCAGCAGUUCCAUGGCGCCUUUCCUUCUUGAAACGAGAUUGAUCCGGAUCGAAGCCACCUUCCUCUGCACCAUAGACAGCCCAUGAGGGUGUCAAGGCCAUGUAAUCUUGGCUCUUGAAAGGCUUUCCGGAUGUUACCUGCAUUGGUGAAUGAGUGGUCAGUUCAGAGAUGGGAAUAUCACCUUGGGCGUGCCACAGAAUAGUUGUUCAGGAAAGGUCACCAGUUCGUGGAAUCGGUCAUAAUCUAUCCAGGUAUGCCAUUUGCCGUUGAUCUUAAACUUAUCCACCUUUGCAAGCAGGACGCAGCAUGAAUGAGCAUGCUCACACGCUACUUCAUAAACACCACCGCUUUUAGAUGCCAAAACCUCAGAGAAUUCCUUUACAUCUGAAUGCCAGGGAACAUUCUCCAUUGUCAACUUCGAAGUUGCUGACCUGUACAUUAUAGUAACAUGUAAGUUGAUGUAACAUGAGCAAAUCAGCAAACCAAAAGGUGAAGGUAUAAUCAGUGGGUACAAAACCAAAAUGGAACUUACGAGCCACAGUAUGUUACACCCUUGAUUUCAAUGAAAUCAGGUUGUCCAAGGUUUAGCAAUUUGGCAUAUGCAUCUAUCUCCUCUGCAUUCCAGCCUUUAACCAGUGUCAGACGGUAAACCGUUCGUUGAUCUUUCUCGUGUAGGGACUUGAGCGAAUCCUAGUGACACAACAAAGCAUAAGACAUACAGAUACAAGGUUAGUAUUGGCAUAUGAAUCAUGAUGAACAUUGGGAAGUCUUUUAUAUCUAUACCAGGAAACGCUCCCAGAAGUCUGAGAAUAGUGGCCUGUCAACAGCCUUCAAGCUUUCCUUUGUAGCUGCAUCCACACUGACAUACAGCUGCAAGUGUAUUGAUAUUGUCAGCAACCUUUAGAAGUUGUUGAAUUUUCAAACACUAAGAUCUGGAACUUAGUGCAAUCUGUUGAGAAUAUGACCUGUGUGAUUGGUUUCAACGUCUUAAUCUUUUCAGGAAAUUGAGCAUUUGUAACCAGAAAAGUAGAUAUGUGCCUGCGGUGUAGCUCAUCAACCAGAGCAUUUAUCUCAGGGUACAUUAUUGGUUCACCAACCAGAGAUAAUGCACAAUGCCUAGGUGAUAGACCCUCUUCUAGUUUUUCUGGCUUUACUCCUGAAAAUGCAAGAACAGUAUUUUAUCCAAUAAAGACUGUACAAAAGUUUCUGAACUGAACAGCAUUAAUGUCAGAUGUAGGUUGCUUGAUGUUGCCUAAGCAUAGUCAGGCUAAGAGAAUAAUAAACGGCGGAUGCAUUCCUAUAAUCUCUUAGGCCAUGUUUGGAAAGGAGGCUUUAGGAAUUGAAUCCUUAGGAUGUAGUACAACUGUGAACUAAAUCCUGAAAAUUCCUAGAACAUUCCCCUUCUUCCAAACAGGCCCUUAGUAAGUGUUUUUACAAGGAUUAAAUGCUUAUAGAUGUAAGCUUUAUUUAAGUUAUUUCUAGUUCAAGCAAGGAACUCUUGCAGGCAUUUGGAAUGACAUGGUCCAAUCUGCCUGAAGUGGAUUCAGUUAGGGUUGAGGGGGAGAGAUCGCCAGGGCCUCAGCCCACAGCUGAGCAAGAUGAAGGCUUUUCCUUCUUAAUUCUUGUAUUGCUUGCUUUCUAAAGAAAUAUGCUAGGCAUAUAUAUAGCUGGCCACAGUACAUAAUGAUUUAACAAACCCAUUACUAAACUAACAACCUUAGCUGACCAACCUGAUUUGCCUAACCAAUCUGCUAACUUAACAAUUGAGAAACUAAAUAAACACAGAAAUGCUGAUAGAUGGUAUAUCUCUAAGCCAUGUAUGCCAGGCUAGUAGCACCAUCACUGACGUCCAUAACUCCAUCCUGGAGUUUUUGUUUGGCAGUAUGAUACACAGUGCAUUGCUCAAGCAAGAAGCAACCACUAAUAUAGUUCAUAUGGGUGAGCGCACAUACCUGGUACACCUUUCAUUUGCUUAAUCAUCUUAGUGUGCUGAUCAAUUGCGGCAUUUGCAAUGUCAAGUGGGUUAUCCAUCUUCCAUUUCCAACUCUUUCCAACAGGAUUCGUGUGAUGCCUCCAACAAAAUACACAUUUAUUGGCACAAGCCAAACUUGGAGUUGCCUCCAUGCAUCUGCCAAAUGAUCAUAUAAAUAGCAAGCAAAUUAUCAAGGCUGUCAAUAUAUUUUCAAAUAAAAAAUUAGUUAUGGUUUUUGUAUUCAGUUUAAGCAGUAAAUAUUGAAUAAUUUAAUAUUAAAAAUAAAACUAAUUGCAAAGCCAGGCCACCUAAUUUGCAAGCACUAGAAAUACACUGUUGCAUAAGAAAAAGGUUUCACCUGUGACUUUCUAUGCCAUAAAAUGAAUGCUUAUAGCACCCUCCACGGCCUCGGAGUUGCGACUUAGUCCAUCUACAAAUCUUCACUCCACUAUGAGAACCAAGAAUUUUGUAACCCUGCAACACACACAAAAUGUGGAUUGGUACACUAUAAACAUAGUAGAAUUACAGAAUGAACCCCAACUACAUGCAACAUAGAAAUACAUAACCCUGCCGCAUCAGCUAAAGCUAAUAAUUAUAAAUAUCAAACAUCAUCAAAGUAUGCCACCCACAUCAUGCAAGAACACGUUAGUGCAACAGCAGCAGCAACCUCAAUGUUCACCAACAUGAAUCUGAGCAUCACUAUGAAUUGUCCUGAAGGUUUAAUCAGAAGUAUCUGCAUGAUAUUUGGUUGCUUGCAUGCUUCUCAAAUCCCUUAUACUGUUAUACUGAAGAUGAUUAACUAUUCCACAGAAUGCAUUCAGCAUUUGAAAGAUAGUUAAAUGAAAUUCUAUAAUAAGAGAACUACUUCCAGAAUUAUGGUUGUAAUCACAAAUCAUCAUCAAUCCUCAGACUUUCAAAGUAAAAAAACUUAACUAAUCUCUUAUUUAUACGAUCAAUUCCAGGCCCAUAACUGCAUGCACAUGACAAUGACAAAUUGUGUCAUUUUUCCUUUCAAUACACACUGGAGGUUAUCAAGUGCCUUAUAGCUCCAAAUACAACUGUGCAAUACAGAUAGUACUCUGUGUAUGACAAAAUGUAAGAAACACUCACUUGCUUCUCCAAGCUCGUCCUGAUGAUUGGUGUGACCAUCUCCUUCACACCGUUCUGCCCUCCAUUAGCCAAACUACCCUCCACCUUCCCGUUCUGCCUCGCCGGCGCCUUUCCAGCAAUGUCUUCCAUGUCAAUCUCCACAGCCACCGUCUCCUCUUCGUCGUCGUCAUCAGACUCCUCUCCUUCCAAUUCCAACUCAUCAAGCCCGUCGCUCUCUCCCAAAACCCCCUCGUUUAAUUCCUCCCCCUUCACCACCCUCAGCACCUUCCCACUCCAAUCCUCGAACACCGCCUCGAGUUCGCCACCAUCCACAUCGCCCUCCCCGAGGGGGACCACCUCAACGGCGCCGAGCGCGCGCAGCCACCGCGAGAAGUUCCUAGAGGCGGCGUUGAAGGUCUCCCCAUAGACCCGGGACCCGACCCCGAAGACGGCGAAGCGAAGACCGGAUAGCAGGAGCGCCCCCGCGCGGAAGUCGGCGGUCGACUCCUCGAGCCAGCGAGCUAGGAAGGCCGCGGAGGGUGGCGGCGCGCCACCGUCGUGGGUGGGGACGACAAGGAGGAGGAGCGGGACGGAGGGGAGGUCGUCGGGUUCGAAGGAGGAAGCGUCAGUGGCGAGGAUGGGAACGCCGGCGUUGGCGGUCAGUCGGUCGGAGAGGCGCGUGGCGAGGGUCUUGGAGGUCCCGGUGACGGAGGCGUAGAGGAGGGUCGGGGUGGUGGUGCGGGCGGGGCCGCUGGCGGGGGAAGGUUUGCGGCGGAGGCGGAUAGAUUUGUAGAGGAAGAAUAGCGAGGAAGAGGAGAGGAGGACGAGGAGGGCGAGGUGGGAGGUGGCGGAGGCGGUGGUCGCCGUCGGGAAGGGAGGCAUCGCGGCGGCGGUGCGUGUGGGAGGUGCCGAUUCGGCCCUUGGGUUUUGGGGGGUUUUGGAAACUCGCCUUUGGGCUCUGGACUCUGGUAGGCUGGGCCGCAGGUAUGUGAUUGGUGAGAUCAUCAUCAUCAAAGAAAAAUGCACAAACUGACAUGAACUUGUGCAACUUCAAACUUGAAUCUUUGAUCGUAGGAGGAAUUUCUGUGCAAAGGUUGCAGUAGCUACACUGAUAACAUAUUGACCUAUGAACAAGGAGUUAAUCCGAGUAUCUGACAACUGAACAUCACCACGCAUCUAACUGAUCAUGUCAUGGGAGCAAAGGAGUCAUGGACAUGGUAAAUCGCUGCUCUCUCCUGGACAAAUUGAAGACCAGAACAGCUCAAAAUGAGAGCAAAAUACACAUUGCAAAACUUUGCUGUUUACCUGCAUUUUACACAGCAAAUGUUCAGGUGUUUGAAUCUUUACAAAUUGUUGCAACUUACAACAACACCAAGCAGUUGAUUCAGUGUUACAAUCUUUACAUAUUGUUACAUUUUGAAACAACAAGAAGCUUGUAUCUUGUACAACACUGUCUACAGAAUAAGAAUCCUUUCUCCGAACCUGACGUUGCUUCAGAGGAACUGAUCAAUGUAACGCCAACCACAUCCAACCAUCAGUUUGGGCUAAAACUUGCCAACUGAUUAGUUGUAGAUGGUUAGCAUAUUGUGGCAUGCAACGAAUGAACAAAUUUUUGUACAUAUAUCCCUGAUUCACAACUGAUUAUAUCACACACCCAGGGGAAAUCAACAGCAGGAUCACUCAAAAAUUGGGCUGGAAUUCAAAGGUUAGCUUAUGGCCGCCAUGUUGUUUUCUUUACAGACAUGAUGCCCUCCUUGUCCUUUCGGAAUGUCAUGACAAUUUCCCAGUGUAGCGACUUCAAAAUGGUCUCCAAUGGGUCAAGGAUCUCAAGUUUAUCUCGGAUGAUGGCCCAAGCUCCAGGCCUCAAAAUUCGAUCCAUCUCAACAACAAUCGCCACAGGUUGCCUACAUCUACACAACACCAGAAUUGCAUAUCAAGAGUUGCACUUAGUUACACUGUAAUAGGCCUUUUUGGGGUAACAUAAGUAAACGUAUGCGCGGACCUAUCGUAGAUAUAGAGUUAGGACCUUAAGAAUUCAUUGCAAAGUACAUGUGUUCCAAGAACUGGAUGAGAUCCAGAACAAAUAAGAAAAAUGCCACAAGAAGACAAUGAAUUCCUGAUUUUGGGUGCGAAAACCAUGUCAAAUUGUAUGAAAUCAAAGCAAGGCUACUUUUCAAUGGCAUACCUGAUCUUCAAGCGUGAGAAUAAAUGGUCAGCAUGUAAAAGAUCAUAGGACCUUGGAUACGUGCUAAAUGGCUCACACCAAUCGUGAUAUACACCAAUCAGGCCACGCUCAUAGAUUAUGGGUAGGGUGUCUGAAGCAUGCACAGGAACGACAUUCAUGACCCAAACCUUUUUAGAUGCCAAUGCAGCUGCAAAUCUGCAAGAAAACAAUCAUCAGAUGUUUCAAUACAUGUAUUUUAAGGUACAUCGCAUACUGUUGAGAGCAAUUCUAUCGAGCAAUUUGAGGAUUUGAAUAGGAUAUUCAUACCCUCCAUAUACAGCCCUCAUAUCCAUCACAUUUCUGAUAUUUGACCAGUCAAUGCCCAAUCCAUCCAGAUAUGAUUUCUCAACAACAGCCUUCCAGUGGUUAUGAUCAGCAGCCACCCUUGUUUGCAAGUCCCCAAGCCACUCAGGGUAACUGUCAAGCCUCUUGGGCCACUCCUGCGGCCAGUCACUACCUCUUUCUUCAAUACCAACAGGUGCUUUGUGCAGGCAAUGUUUGAUGUGAGUAUACCUAAAAAAGAGGAGAAGUAAACUUAUUGGUGUAUAGAAAAACAUCCAAGUACCCAUUGGCUAAUAGCAUAAUGAUGUAGCCCAAGUAUCCCAUGAUCCAACUUACCAUGCAUUAGCUUUGUUCUGCUCUUCCUUGCAAAAUGGAGGGUCCUUUUUUGCUCUCAGAUCAUAUUCCUCAUUUGUGGCUGGUCGCUGAAAUAUCUUUACUCCAACCUCACUGACAUCAUCACUAUUGUAAGCUAUUGCAUUCCAACAAAGUGCAGUCAUAGAAGCUGAUAUUCCUGAAAAGGGAAAAGAAAAUGGGAAAUGUAAAGAAAUACUGAGUACAAUCUACAGUGGCGUUGAUAUUUGUGUUAUUCUAUCACCUUUUUAUAUAUAUGCUACAUAGUUGUACCACAUCAUACCUUCUUCGCUCUCCAGGUCAGCACUUUUGCUUGAUAUAAUGAAGUAUCCUCCUGGGCGAAGAAUUCUAUUUAUCUCUAGGAGGAGUUUCCCACCUAAACCAUAGAAUAUACGAUGUUGUUCAACAUGCGAGUACAUACUUGAAAUAUGAUCAGAAGAAAUGAAUGAAGCAACACAUAUAUACCAUUAGAAUGCCAUGGUAUGUUGCAUUCACCACAGUGUAUAGCAUCAAAUGCACCACUAGGGAAUGGUAAUCUUUGUGAUCCCAGACUGCCAACUGUUGCAGGGAUUCCACGUUCAAGGGCAACUUGCGCAAGGUCUGUUUGAUCAUUUGUAAGGCCUAAAGAUAGUGUUAUCACAUCUUUCUCAAGUAGAGCAAUACCAAAGCCAGCACUUUUGCAUUUGAUGUCCAAUACUAUCCGAAUAUUUUUACCCCAGUCAAUGUCAGGAGCCAUCUGAAUGACAAAAGAAAGUAAUGUGAAGAUUGUGCAAAGCAUUAGAAUGAGACAUGUGUUAUGCAUAAAUGCCUAGAAAACUCAACUACAAAAUGCAGGUGGAAUUAAAAAUACAAAUAAUAUUCAAUCUAAAAUUGUGGCCAAUGUCCAGUAAGCUCAUUAUAUAGGAGAAUUGAACCUUUGGGAUUCACAGAAUUUUCACUAGGGCACUGAAUGCAGUAUCAUUGUAAUAAGUGGUCUCAAGAUGAUGCAGCAGCCUAGCAAUCACCAUAUAGGAAUGAGGACACAUUGAUGGAUAAAAAAACUAUAAGCCAAGAAGUAAGCAUGAUUUUCUGAGCUAGAUCCCCCAAUGGUGAGGCGAUCACAAGUCACAACUAGCCAUUAGCCGCAUUGCACAUGCUAUAGGCAAUCCUAGACGAACAUCAACUAGGUGGAGUUGUGCACCUAUUUUUCAAACAUUGUUCCAUCCCUUUACUAAAGACAAGCCAACUUAAUAAGCUUACUUUAUAGUGCAAGCUAGUAAAUAGUGUGCGGAAACUAUUUAAGUGCUAUUUCUGCAUACAAGUAGCUUUUAUCUGAUCCAAAUAUGGAGAUCCAACAAUUACCUCAUCAAUUGAUUCCACAUAAUGCCUUGCUCCACCUUUGAAUUCCCAUUCAUCUAGUGGGAACAUCAAGUACUCACCACUGUGGUUCAGCCAGUUGUGGCCCUUAACAUAAUUUGACAGUCUAGGAUGUGCAACAUUCGCAUACCAAACCUUCAAGCAUCACAAUUGACCACAAGAACAACCUCAGCUAUUAAUCAAUCAAAGCUAUUCAUGUCCGAUUAUGUAUGAUCAACUCCUUUUCUUGAAACGUGAAUUAUGGUCCUCACCUUGUCCUUCCUCUCCGGCCAUGGUGCGGGCUGUUUAUAAUCCUUGGGCAGUGACACCAGGCACGUCACAGGCGACCUUGGGCAGCUGCGUUCAUGGUGCCUCUGGCUCCCAUCCCCAUCGAAAUCCACACAAGGAAUAUAGUGGUAGCCGCUCUUGGCACCACAAUGCUUCCAGUGGUAAUGCGCACUGGAGCUGAACAAAGGCGGGAGCUUUCUCUUCUUACUUGGAGCCGCCUUCUUCGCCACCUCAAAAUCCUCGUCGCCAUCACCCUCACCGGGCUCCUCUUCCAAUUCCAGCUGCGGCGGCUUCUCCUCCUCCCCCUCUGCAGGCGCCUUCCCCGAGUUGUCUCCGCUUUCCUCGGGCAUAGGCAGCUCGGCCUCCUUCUCCGGCUCCAUCUCCAUGUCUGGCUCCUGCUCCUGCUCCUGCUCCGGUUCCUUCUCCUUAGGCUCUGGGUCGGUUAUUGGAGCCGGCUCGGAGUGAUCGGCUUUUGCAGCGGCGGCAUCCGGCGAGGAAGUGGCAUUGGUGCGAUGGGGAUGGGAAUGAGAUCCGGACGGAGCAGGAUGGCGCUUCUUGUGGCUGUGCGGGACGGGGCGGGGCUUCCGGUGAGCAUGCCCGCCGGCGAUGCUGGUGCUGGUGCGGUUAUGGGAGGCGGUUGGCGGGGCGGCGACCUCGGCGGCGAAGGAGGAGCGCUCGGUGGAGAUCUGCUGGGAGGAGGAGGUCGGGGAGACGGAGGUCCAGAUGAUUGCGAAGGAGAGGCCGAGCGCGAUGGCGAUGCCGACCUUGGCGCCGAAGCCCAGCGGCUGGCGGCGGCGCCAGCAGCCCAGGAGCGCGGAGGAGGGGCGGCCGGGCGGGCCGCGGGCCACCGUCAUGCGGCGGCGGGCGGUGGGCCGGUAGGUUGGUGAGGCGAGACUGUCGGUGCGAGUGGUUGGCGUGGACUCUGGAGGCGGAGCCGUGGGAGGAGGAGAAGCAGAGUGUGGCAGUGACGACAGUUGGGAGCAGGACUGGGGAAGUGGGGAGGGGAGCAGAACAAGCCGGUUACUGUUAGCCUAUUACUGUGAUUUUCUUUCACUUUAAAAAUUGGCACUUGAAGAAGCAGAAUUUGUGAGUCAGUAAACAGAUUUCACUCCCAAAUUCUGCUUAUAAUUUGUUGAUCAGACAUGUAUACGGAUUUUUUGUGCGUUUGCAGCAUAAGACUGCUUCUAUGGUCGAGUAGCAUGAAGCACAUGAACACAUGGUACGAUAGAAAGCAGCAACAAUUCGUAGCAUCUACAAGUAGUCCAGUUGAAUGGUUGUGCCUUGAACAGAUAACUGAACAUUGUUAAAAAGAAGUAAAGAACUCCCACUCUGACAGACAAGGGAAUGCUAGUUGCUCUGAUUUUUGUUUGAUUUGAGCUAAGGGGGCAUUUGGUUCAAACUGCUUAUUUUUAGCACCCAUCACAUUGAAUAUUUAGAUACUAAUUAAAAGUAUUAAACGUAGACUAUUUACAAAAUCUAUUACACAGAUGGAGGCUAAACGGCGAGACGAAUCUAUUAAGCCCCACCGUUUAGCCUCCAUUUGUGCAAUUAGUUUUAUAAUUAAUUUGUAUUUAGUUCCCCUAAUUAGCUUCCGAAUAUUCGAUGUGAUACAAAGUAAACUUUAGCUCGAGUAACAACAAGUAGGAAGGGAGAACCGGCAGUGGGAGGUCAGAGGUGCCAUUCUUUUUUGUUAGAUGUGGCCAGUCACUAAUGAGCGAGGACGGACCACCAGCAGGUAGAUGGAUGGUCUCUGCAACUCUGCCCCUGGAAUCACUUCUGUUUGAUUUACCCAAUCGGGCCAAAAGAAUAACAUCUUUGGUGCACCACUAAUCGAUUGAUUGACACGAAGAGAGAAACUCGCUGCGAAUUUUGCAGGACACGACUGAAAAUCCGUGGCCCGUAGCGUGCAUAUGGGGCAACAGCUGAGCUAAAGCGGGCCGGGCUCGUCGGAGAACGGAUGGACCGGGCCGGCGGCACCGCGGUCGCGCGCGCACGUGCUUUGUCCUCUCCUUUCCCCGAGCCGCGACAGCGCCAGUCUCCUCCGCCUCUGCUGGUCCUCCCCUUCCCCUGCGCCAACUAAUUAAUACGAGCACACCACAUCGCCGCCCCCGCGCCGCCGUCGCCGUCGCCGUCGCGCUACAGUCCGAUGGGCCACCGCGCACGUACGAGCGGCGAAGCGGCGUAGUAACCCCGCCGGAAAAACACGCGCCACCCAUGCCCCCCGGGGCGCACCGUACACACACAACACGAGAGCGCGAACCGGCCGGGCAGGGUCACGUACGUGUGGUCCUCUUUUUUCUUAUCUCUUCCCCCCCUCGGCUCCCGCCUUUCCCACUCACCAUACAAAACCAACCAUCGUGUACAGCAACAGCUAGCUUAGCCAUGUUCAUUGGAGAUCACACACCGACGACGACGCUGCUGGUAGAAAAUGGCGAACCAGCUCUUGCUUUAGUCUGCUCGUGCCGGUCAGCCCGAGCAUCCAUAUAAAGCGAGCUAGCCGCUGCACAUUGUGUGGCCGCGCGCGCGCCCUUGUCCAAGCUCUCGGAGGAGAGCGCCGGCGGCCGGCCAUGUCGUCGUCGAAGCCGGAGGAGGAGGAGAAGGAGGCGCCGUGCAUGAAUGGCGAAGUGGCGACGGAGGACGACAGCAGCAGCGGCGAGGUGGGAGUAGAUGAAGCAGAAGGCGAGCGGGAGUUCGCGGCGGCGAUGGCGCAGCUGGCGCCGGAGGGCGUGCGGGCGCUGCACGCGCGGGUGGAGGCGGAGUGGGGCCCCGUGCUGCAGAGCGCGUGCCAGACGGCGGCGGUGCGGGCGCUGUGGGCCCGCACGGUGCGCGACCCGGCCGCCGCGGUGCUUGCCGGGGAGCGAUACCUCAGGGGCCUGCACGAGAAGAUGCGCCGCGACGUGCGCGCCGGGGCGCGGGAGGUGCACGGCGUCAUGAUCGCCGUGCGGACGCUCUGGUUCGACGCACGCAUCGAGGCCGCCGUCGACGCGCUCGGCGGCGAACCACAGGUCGUGAUCCUCGGUGCAGGUUCGUCCACGUAAAACUCCAAAAAAUAAAAAAUCGCAGCGCCGGCGCCGUUUGCAAUGCAUGCGUGAUCAUAUCGAUGCACGAACGUGUACGUUCGCGCGCGAGACCCAUCACCCAUGCAUUCUUUUUUUUUUCAUACUCAUUUUCCUGUGCAGGCCGGCUCCUAAUUCGUAAUUAAGUGACCGGCCUGAACGUAAUUCGUGCCAUUACAAUUGUUAUGAGCUACACACUGAGCUGAUGUUGCAUAAACUUGCCGGUGUACCCUAGGACCUAGGUCAUGUCAUCUGCCGCAUUAAUAUUUUUCAUAGUUUGAAAAUGCGAUGCAGAGAUAGAUCAUCCUCCAUAUAGAGUUCAAAUUUCUUGUUUGAAACUGUAAUGCAAAGAUAAAUCAUAUCCCCCAUAUAGAGCCCAAGUUCUAGUUUCAAAAUGCAAUGCAAAGAUAAAAUCAUCCUCCAUAUAGAGUUCGAAUUUCUAGUUUGAAAAUACAAUGCAAAGACAAAUCAUCCUCCAUAUGGAGUUCAAAUUUCUAUCAUCUUUAACCUGGAUCCGUACAACUAAAAAGACGAAGUUACCCCUGCUCCUGGUUGUAGAUUCAUAUGGCACGGGCAAUUCGGUCUUUACCACCAAAAUGCAUACUUGCAAAACAAGGAGCCUAAUUCAUGACAGCAUUUUCUCCGAAUGUGGCUUGGCUGAGCUUCUUCCACGCUGGCCAUUUUAUGUGUGGCGCGAAACUCGGACACGAUCACACGAAGGAAAAGGAACCUAUGUUCUUAUCAUUAACUCUUUGAAGAAAAACAUGUAAUUAUAACAGGAAGCGAUCAUCUCGCGUGUAACAAAAAAAAGGAAAGAACAAAAGAAAACAAUUGUGGCUCGGAAUGAAGACACCUGGCCACAUUACAGCAAGAAGAAAGCUAUCCUGAGCUGCAGCAUUUUUAUGCGAGCACGUCCAGUAGCUAUUUUGUCCGGACUACAGAGAGCAAAUCACAUCCAACACACUGAUAUUUGUGUCCUUGAUGAUACCAGUAUCUACUGCGAUACUGCCAGACCCUUUCAGCUGGUCUCAUCAGUUAGCAGUUAGCACGAUGUAGACCAGGAAACUUUUGGCUUGUAUCCUACAAAAGGCUACAGAAACAGAUUAAGGUCUCGUUCGGUUCUCUUGGAUCUGUCCGAAACGAGAUCUAUUCUGCACGGAUUGAUUUGACCCGAUUUAAAAUUCGAUGUGCGGAAUGAUUUAACCCGAUUUAAAAUUCGAUAACCUUUUAGUUCGAACUGGAAUAGAGCCGGUCUUGUUUCUAUUCCAGCUCAUUUUAGUUAUUCUAGCCUCUUAACGACCCAGAAUCAAUCCCAUAUCUUAAUCUACGAAACGAAUCCCUGUAGGAUCGAGUGACACAACCAGAUCCACUCAUUCCCCACAACCGGAUCCACUCGUUCCCCUCCAGGAACGAAUGAUUCAAUCAUGAACGACUGAACAAGACCUAAUAAUUUCUUCGCUGGAAUUGGUAUGGGGUACGGUAUGGAGUAAUUACAAUCCGGAAGCAAACUUGGGUACAUGAACAUAUGAGAGAAUGCCAAAACUUUGAAUCUGAUAAUGCCAGAGAGAUAAGUUCACCUGAAGAAAAGGCUCAUUCUAAUCACCAAAUGAUGCUCUCUUUCUUUUUUUUCAGGGAUGGAUGCGAGAGCCUAUCGACUCAACUGCCUAAAAGAAUGCACGGUAUUUGAACUUGACUUCCCGGAGCUCCUAGAAAUGAAAUCUGAUCUUCUGCACGAAGCAAUGAGUUCCGCAAAUCACCAGAAACUCACCUUGAUGGCAAAAUCAUUGAUUGGGGUUCCUUCCAACAUACAAGAUGGAGACUGGGUAACAAAGCUGCAGAGCUGUGGGUAUGUCCCUGAAAGGAACACCAUAUGGGUGCUCGAAGGCAUCAUCUAUUACCUUCACCAUGCAGAUGCAAUGCAAGUCCUCGAAACCAUUGCAGCCAGCCGGUCCUCAGCCUGCACAGUGCUCCUGGCCGACUUCAUGAACAAGAAUGCGACAUCACUCUCUCCAGCCAUGUACCAUUUCUACCAUGACAACCCUGAGCUCCUGCUGCCUUCUAUUGGGUUCUCUAAGGUAACACUGUCACAAAUUGGAGACCCCCAGGCACAUUUUGGGCUCCUAAAUCACCCAGAUAACCUAUUUGAUAAACUGAGGAGACUGCCAAGAUCAAUGGAAAAAAAUCCGGAGGAUGGUACACCAUGCUGCAGACUGUAUUUUGUGGAAGCCUCUGCCUCACCAGAUGACCAGAUCAUGUGUCCACUGGAUCACUACUUGGAAUAGCUGGAACACCUCUUUUUUUUCCUGAUGGCGUGCAGAGUUCAUUAGCAUUCAAACCCAGAUAUGAUUUUUGUAUAAUAUAUUUUUUGUCUGAGAUAAUCCAUAAAAUCUUGUCAAUGAAUAAUACCAAGAUUUUGUCCUACUAUUUACACAUUUCUUACUCUUUUUCCAAGCAGCUACAGUUUAUGGAAAACCAUCAGUAAAUAUAAGCAUACACUUAAAUAUCCACUUUAGUUCCAUGUAGUUUAAUGAACAGAGAACAGUAGAAUAUUUUAAAGAAACUAGAGACACAAGGUAUACAUGGGUAAAUGUUAUAUGAUAAUAAACAGGAUGCUGCGGAGCACAAGAGAGAACUUUCAAAAUAGUAUCGGGAAACAAAAUUUUCACAUAUGGGCUUACUGCUACCACACUUUGCAUAUAUCUCCUCAAUAAGUGCCUACAUCUAAUUCUAUGUUUCAUUUGUAGGCAAAAAUCAUUUUUACCAUAAGUAACAUAUAUCAAAUCAAAUGCAUUUUUUUUGCGAGGAUCAAAUCAAAUGCAUAAUGUGUGUUCUACAACAAAAGGCCCUGAUGAGCAAAGGCAAAUGAAACCUUACCACCGGAAUAUUAGGAACAUAAAAACAAUAAUUCAUUUUAAAACCUUAGAAAAAUUGAUGGGACCCAGCCAAAAAAAACUUUAAACACCUAAACAGUCUUUAACACUCUGUUCAAACUUGUCAAGGGCAGAGAUACUGCUCAGCACACCAUCCUUCAUCUUCUCUCUGCAGGACAUCAAAAAUGAUAAAUGGCAGCAUUUAUUAGCAACAAAAGACUCCAAAUCAAUUCCAUAUAAAAUCAAGGCUUGUAAUCCAAAUCCUAAAACAACCAAUUUUUAGACAUCCAUACAAAUUGUGCAGAUUUUAUUGUGAAAAUCAGUUCAUCCUGCAUGAGAAGACAUUCCAGACAGGGGAGAUUCGACAAAUUGCAGUAAUUUGUUUCUAGUAAUCCUUCAAUGAGGUGAUGACAUAGGCUAUAUCUUCUUUGUUACAAGAUCAACAGGACAAAAUGAAUUGAUCGCCCAUGGACAAGCAGUCAAAUAUCCCAUAACAGAACAUUGCAAAAGGAUAACGGCAUUACAUAAUGCAAAAAUGCACAGACAUCCUGUUCACAUAUGAAGCAUCAAGUUACUACCAUGUUCUAGUAAAAGAUGCAGCAUAAGAAGAGUCAAUGCAUGAUAACAAAACUGGGGUUAAAAUAAAACAAGAUAAGUUAUGCAUCCACGUCACGCACCUGUCACCAGUGAGCUCAAAGUUACUGUUCUCCACAAUGGUUCCCAGGUCGGAGAAUGACCUGCGGAAGAUCAGUGAAACUUGAGCCCGCUCAAAAUAAUACACAGCAAUUUAGUGAGCUUCACGUAAUGCUAGCUAGCACUAAACAUACUGGAUGAGCUCCCCAAGCCUAGUAUCAGCUUCAACCUUGAGAGGAUCCUUUUUGGUGAGCAGCGACGCGGCAUUCUUCAGUAUCAAACUGAAUGUGCAGACCUACAGGGUAAUUCAAUAACACGCCUUGAGUGGAGUACAAACAGCAGCGUCCUUGGUUAAGUCAAAGCCGCCCCGCCCCGCCCCCGCCCCCCGCCCCCCCCCCCCCCCCCCCCCCUACCUCAACGCCAGUCUUCGACUGGAACGCGACGAUCGAGUUCCUCUGCCGCGGCACGCAAUCCCUCCCCGCCGCACCGAUCCGCCCCCUCACCUCCUCGGCGUCCUCAGCAGACGCAUUUGGGGAAGCUGCAUUGCGCAGCCACAGUUGCUAAGAAUCUUAUGGACAUAUCCGACAAAAUUAAGCAAAGCGAUGGUUACCAGGGAGAAUGGAAUUACCGAGGAGAGCUUGGGCUUUGAGGAGGGUGUCGCGGGAGGCGGCGAUGGGCGCGAGGAGGAAGGACGCUGACUUCUUCUUCUGCUCCCGCAACAGCUCCUUCGGUCCAGCUGCAACAAAGCAAGAAGAAGAGACGAGAGUGAGAGGUCCGGUCACCGCAUUGCCGGGAAAGGAGGUAGGCGACGGGAGGGACGUGGUCGUACGGAUGCCGAGGGAGAAGGCGGCAGCGGCGAAGGGGCGUGCCGGCGCCGCGACCAUGGCGAGGGCGAGGAGCGCCGCGCGGCGGGAGGCGAGGCUCGGAGGCGCGGGUGGAGGAGGCUGCGGCUGCGGCGGCGAGGAUUCCCGGAGGGGAGAGGCAGAGGCUGCCGUCGUACCGCGCCGGGGAGGUGGCCUCGCCGGCGGUGGCCCCGGUGGCGCGGCGAGCGAGUGGAUGGCGCGCAUUGGGCCGCUCGUUGUGUGGGAUAGUGAGUGGGUUGCGGUCCUCUCCGCGUGGGCCUCCAAACUUUACGACGCGUCCAUUCCGAGCCGCACGCCACAUCCCGUGUUGCCGCGAAAGGUUACGUACUCUCUGACUUACGUCUUCCGAGAGCGUUUACGGCUAAGAGGCCUCUUCCGCCUUGGCGCCUUCGCGACUCCACACACGGCCCGACGACCGUUCCGUUCCGUUCAGACACGACGCAGCUAGUCGGACACUGGCCACCACGGCACUCCAGUUGGGAAAGCAAAGGGAGAAUGAUACGUGCAACCUUGUACAAUUCCAUAUGCGGGCACAACCGCGUAACAAAGCCCAUUCUAUUGUUCAAAAAUGGAAUCGUAUUUAAUUUGCUUCGAUGCAGUCAAGUGCGCCACUGGAACUGGAAUUUGAAUCCACCAGGCCGAGUCACCAACCAACUUGCCAGCCCCACCCAAAUGCGUGGAUCGCACCGCGGAGAUCAUACUCUUGUCUCUCUUUGCACUUGCAGAAGCAAUUUCUUUUCCCCGGACCCAUAAGGCAUAAGAAUACUGUGGAAAAAGUCUAUUUUAUUUUCCCCACCUAUCCACUUUGUCUGCUUAACUUCUGAACAAAAUUUAGGCUCAUUUUACUCCCCUAAACUAUUUCAUUUGGUCCAAUCCACCCCCUAAUUAGAUCUCUCUUUUUUUUCUCCAUGUAUAAGUUGAAUUUUGAGUUCAAAUUUUAUGAGUAGAUAUAAAACAUGAUGCCUUAUGUUAAAAAAUUGUACUAAGAAUUUUUUAUGAUUAUUUUCAUAGGUUAGGAAUAUUUAAUAUAAAUUGAUCUUAGAUAUACAAAACUUACAAAAAUUAAAUGUAUUUAUCCAAUGUAGAGCAUCUUGUUAUAAGUCAGCUGGUAAAAUUAAUUAAAACUCACCUUGUAUGAGAAGAAAAAAAGAGAGAAAUCUAAUUAGGGGUAGAUUGGACCAAAUGAAAUAAUUUGGGGGAGUAAAGUGAGCUUAAAUAUUGCUUAGGGGAUUAAGUGGAUAAAGUAAAUAGAUGAGGGAGUAAAAUGAACUUUUUUUUUCCUAUCAGUUGUUGCCUCGUAUAUCCGGCUUCUAAAGAAUCGCAUUUCUUUCUUUCUCCUUUUCUCUUUUCUCUGAUGAUGAUCACAUGGUAAUGCAAAAACACUUAUUAAUAAUUGGCAUCUUUCGCUGGUGAGAUAGACGUGUCGCCACGAAACCGGAUGCUGGAUUCCAUGUGUUGAGGUGUUUUUAACCAUGGAUCAGAUUCGAGCAAACUUCCCAUCGGAUUUGUCUAAUCCUUCUGUCAUCAUCGAUCCCAGCAUAAACAAAAUCGCGCACAACUGACAGCUGGUUCUGGAUCAGAUCUCAGGAGCAUUAGGCCUCGAUCGCUUUUGCUUCCCCGUUCGUUAUUGCCUCUUGUUGCUAUUCUCAUUCUAUAACAAAUUAACAAGCGACCAAGCUUACAUCACAACUGAUCAGAAGAGUGCGUGAAGCCUUGACAAAACUACAAAAUGACACACUGCAACGUAUGAGGAAGCUUAUCAUCGAGUCGUAUAAACAAAAACAGAAAGGUGAUCGCUUUACAGAUCAUCCGGUUUAGUGUAGUGUAGCCGAGUAACUGACUGCUGUGUUAUCACUUGCCGCUCUUGGCUGCUCCUCGUCGCGGGCUGAUGACGACGGGAGUUGGCGUGUCGUGCUACGGGUGUAGGCGAGGCCGUGCACGCUUGGUGGUGAGGGACAAAAGGAGGGAGACUGGGAGAGGAGGACAAAAGGCUUCCAAACUCCAAAAACGCGAUCGACGCCAACCGAGAUUGUUUUGGCUCUGCUCCAGUAGUUCUCGAUCCGAAGCGCUCGCCUUUGGCCAGCGUGGAACCCCUGGGCCCAGGGAUUGCAUGGGAUGAUAUCCGAAGAAAAGAAAACUAGUCUAAAUUUGCUAUACUCACCCACCUAAUGUCUACGUGAAAUCUUGAAAUCUGGGUUCUUUUUGUUUGUGAUACUACCUUUCUUUAUUACCAUUUUUUUUCUGGGCAAAUCCUCUACGAUCUAGUAUAUUGACCUGUGUACUCUGCCUACCAAAAUUGAAGAUUAUUGUAGUCUUGUGACGGUAUAUCUAGACACUAUUUUAUUUGAGCUAACUUUUGACGUCUCGAAGAAUCAUCUAUCUUGCAAAUAUACGUGCCCGACCAAAUUCUUACGCUUAAAAUAUAUAAUGUAUUCUUUUUGUUAUCACAUCAUGGUUUAUAUAGUGCAGGGCUUCAACAUAGUUCCAUUCUUUUUGACCAUUUAUACUCCUUUGCUUAUCGUCAACCAUCGAUCUUGAUGAUAAAUUUAAACAUGCUAAUAACCAGCAACGACAACAAUAACCGCCACAUUGAUAAAUGUUUCUUUCUUUUACCAUUCAUACUCCUCUGUUUGCCGUCAAUCAAUGGUCUUGAUGGUAGACUUAGACAUGCUAAUAACAAGCAACGACAAUGUCAAUAACCUAACACGCAUUGGUUAAAAUGGGGUAUACGUAGAUCGAUUAUAUGCUGAGGUAGUGAUAAUUUAUAAUUAUUUUUGUCAUUUUCUUUCCAUUAACCCAUUGGUUUGUAUAGAUCCGCUCCAGAGAUAGCGCUAUCGGUCAACCGAUAAUUUAGUAGCUUACAUGUGUUGGAGGUAGGACAACGGCACAUGGUAAAAAGGUUCACGAGAUCUACAUUAGCCACUUUCUUCUUCCUCCGUAUUUGCAUGCAUAGCCUUCUUCUUCCUCCUCCUCGCCAUUGAUACCCUUCAGCGCACCUCCAAAACCUUUCAACCUAAAUUCCAUGUUACCACUAGCACCACCCUUAUUUGCCUCGUGCGACAACUCUAACUACCCUAUUAUUUAUAAUCUACAACCGCGGUCGUAUCAUUACUAGAAUGCUAUACCACAUCCUUUCCGCUGUCAUAUGGACCUCUACCCUAACCCUAAAACAUUAUAUGGGCACGAUUUGUUGCUAUAUUUGACAAAAUAUGUGCAAGGCUCAUCCGUCGUGCCCUAUUUCCGCGGGUCCAUCCAUGGUCACCGUGCCCUCCUGCGCUCGGGAAAGCGCGCGUGUGGCCGGAGCAAAGCUCCGGAAGGUCAGCCGCGCCGCGCCACGCCACGCCAUCCGUUACCGCCGGAGCAACGUCAGCAGCCCCCCAACUCAAACUCAUCCAUCCCCCGCAGUUCCUCCACCACCAGCCCACCCCGCCCGCCCGCGCCCGCUGCUGCUUCCGACGCACGCGAGCUCCGCGGCAUCCGCAUCCGAAUCCGCACACGAUCCCCGCGCCACUUGCCCGCCCCCCUCGCGCCCCGCGCCUCCGCCAAUGCCCGCCGCGAUGAGAUGAGAUGACGCCGCCGCGCGGCGGUGCUCGGCCACCCUCGCAGCCCCUCCCUCCUCACGCGCGCCACCAUCGGGAUCCCUCCUCCCUCCCACCCACCCUCCUCCCCACCAGCGCCGCAUUUAUUCCCUUCCCCCGCACGACAGCGGUCACGCUUCCGUCGUCCCGUCCUCGUCGCAUCCGGCGCUCCGCCUAUUUAAGGCGCGCGGGCUGAGAACCAGCGAUAAUGCUCUUCGCCAGGAGGCCCCUCUCCGCCGCGCUCCACCUCGCGCCCCUCUCGCCCCCCUUGCUCCUCUUCUUCGCGUCCGCGUCGUCCUCGUGCUCGCCCGCGUCGUCGUCGUGCUCGCCCGCCGCCGCGUCGGCCUCCGGCGGCACCAGAGGUACGAACGAGAUUCCUCUGCGAUCUCAGCGGUCGGUCUGAUGGGAGAUGUUUUGGUGGAUUCCAUCAGGUUUUGAUGGUUGUUUCCAUGAAAUUUCGUGGCUCCACUCCUUUUGUGAUAAUAAUUUUACCGUUUUGGUGGAUUUCAUCGGGUUGAUCGUAGCCGUUUGUCGAGCCGGUGAUGGGCAUGCGGAGAUUGUAGAUUUUGUUGGAAUUUGAUGGUUCUGCAUUUUGCAUCUUCGGUUUGUGAUCCAGCGUUUUAAUAAGAGCGAAUUAUUCUAGUGAGAUGCGGGAAUUCGGUUUACCAAUUUGCCCCGUAUGUCCUUUUAAUACGUUGCCACGUGAUCAUCGACAGUUUUCACCAACUCUGAAAUAAUUCCUGACCGUAAUAACGAGCUUCUACUGAUCAUAAAGUACGGUUAACAUUUUUCAGUAUGUUCUUGCAGUACUGAUGUAUUGAUCUCCUAUCACUAUCAGGUUGCAGUGCUGUAAGGAUGGACAGCGGUGCAGUGGAGACAACGUCAACUGGGGCAGUAUGGUCAACACCUUCGGCAGAACCAAGAAGCGUUUCUAUCGGGAAGGCGAUAUUCUGCAAUAGGUCACUCAACAUGAGGAACAUCACAGCAGUGGGAUUUGAUAUGGACUACACUCUUGCACAGUACAAGCCUGAGACCUUCGAGGCCCUUGCUUACUAUGGUACAAUUGAGAAGCUUGUGAAGGAUCUGCACUACCCUGAAGAGGUAAUUUACCCUAAGAAAUGCGAAUUUGCUUGAUACAAAGUAGCCGGAUUGAUUGCUUUCAUACUAGAUUUGUUGCUUUUGGAUUUAUGAUAAAUUCUACUAGCCCUUACGAUGCAUGCAUUAAGGAGAGGUUGGCACAUAGGCCCCUGUCCUGUCUGUUCCAGAUUCCAUAUAGUUGCUUUAACAGUUCUGAUUUGUCUAAGAGACUAAGACCGUUCGGAUGUCACAGAAGUUAGCGUGGCUCUUAUGCAUCAUUUUAUAGUUUUACUCUCCAGACUUCACUAAUGCUUUUAGAGGCCAGACUAGUCACUAGUUAGUUUAACUAGUUACUGAGAAUUGCAUGCAAUUGACUACAGAGAUAUUCUGAUAGUUUGUGACAGCAUUUCUAUACUUGUCUCAAGGAAGAAAGAACACCAGCUUCUCGUUAUGAAAGCAAAGAUGGAUUAUUUAUUAUAUACCUCUAUUUGCUUUUAUGGAGUUAUGGCUGCAUAAUGUUGGUGCUGUUCUUGAUUAAAGUUCCCUAUUGGAGCUAUUGCUAUUUGUCUUAGAAGGGCCCACUGGCUGUUGCAUUGUUAAAGUAGUAAAAGCAUCCGAGUAUGAAACUUGCCAUCCAUUUAUUAAGCAGGAAUAUUUUGAGCAAAAUACAUUGGCCUUAUUUCAGAAUUCACCUUUACAUAUUGAAAUUUUAUGAAAGCAUAUUCCUUCCUUGUUGUGCUUGACCGCUUGUUUUGGUUCAGAAUUUGAUUUUUACUAUUCUUUUAUCAUGCAGCUGUUGACUUGGGAGUUUGAUUGGAAAUACAUGGUCAGAGGGCUAGUUCUUGACAAGAAGAGAGGAAAUAUCUUGAAGGUCAGUUAUAAAUUAGAACAAGUUGCUGGAAGCUUUCUGUCUUAAAUUAUCCAAAACAUAGACAUAUUUUAUGUUGUUAUCUAUGGAGGGCCCAACCUGCUUGGGACUAAAAGGCUUUGUUGUUGUAUCAAUGAAGGGCCCAGCCACAUAUGUUUACAAUAAACAGAAGUCUACAUUUGUAUAUUAAUCUUUGGAACCUGCUGUUGGUGGCUGCAUGUUUAGAAUUAGAAGUUGUCUUGUCAAAUUAAUUAAUGCUUUUUUUUGUUGAAUAUUCUGCUUGGGGGCAUUAUUACUUAUCAUAUGUUAUAGUUUGAACCAUAAUCACCAUUUUUGAGCUAAAUUUGCAGUUCAUCAACAUUAGUAUUAAUUGUUCAAUGAGCACUGUCAUCAUUUUGGUAGUAGCAAGUGUUAGCUGUCAAUGUGUAAACUUCAACUGAUUAGAGGGAACAACAAAAACAGGUCUAGGCCUCUAGCAUAAAUUUUGAUUUGAUCUAUGUUGUAAGAUUUAAAAGCGGUUAUUUUCUGCUGUUUCUUAAUUUAUUUUGAUCUCAUUGUUUCAUUGCAUUUAUGUGCUGGACUUUCAGUACUGUACAUGUACCUUUUCAAUGAAAUUAACUUUUUUCAACUAUUUGGGUUGUGUAUUAUCAGAUGGAUCGGCACAAGUAUGUAAAAGUUGCAUACCAUGGUUUUAGGGAACUGUCGAAAGAAGAAAAAGUUGCUGCUUAUGGGAGUACAUUGAUAAGAGAUUCAUUUGAUGAACCUGAUUAUGCCCUGAUAGAUACACUUUUCUCAUUGGGUGAAGCUUAUCUAUUUGCUCAGCUUGUUGAUUUUAUGGACAAUAAUCCUGGAAAAGUACCUGCCGGCACAGAGUAUGAUUAUUCCCAUCUUACAUGUUUACCAUACUGAAGGGGCUUAAAAUUUUAGGAUGUCAUUUAAAUAUGAGUUGAUUGAGCCAAAUGAUUAGAAUGAUUAUUUUGCGUUUUGAAGAGCAUAUCCAGUUGUCCACUCUUAAAUGUUUCUUCUUUUCAGGAAUGAACCAAUAUGUAGCCAACAAUACACAACUGUCUAUCCGCAAUAGUCCAAGUUUCUUUCAUUGCAUUUGUUACAAGACUUCCAUAAAGUUAAAUCUAUCUACUAUCUUUAAUCCCUAAGCAAUCCGAUAUCCUUUUCCUUUGUUCAUUUCAUGUCAGCUUGUUUUUUUUUAUCAUGAGUGUACAUUUACUAGUCUACUGAUGCACUGCGAUCCAUGUCGAUGUCUCUCGACCUUUGAGUGCUGGGCUGUGCUUGUAUUGAUUAAUUAAGUGUUUUUCAGACUCCUAUGUCAAUUCUUUGUUGAAUCAGAAAUCCAAUCUCAGCCAGACUUCGACAUGCCAUGCCUUGUCGAUAACGUUUCUCGGUUUCUGUAACCAUGACAUACCAUUUCUCAUCUUUUUUGACAUCAAUCGUGGUAAUUUAGGUUAGAUUCUUAUGGGAACUAGUAUGUUUUUUGGUGCUAGAACUUGCAUACAAAUUGGACAAUUUGAGGUUGUUGUGUUGGGUGUUCUCAUAAAUCCACAGGCCUCAUGCAUACAGACCCCAUCAAACUUUAAUUGCAUCCAUGACCAAAUUUUCAAUAAAAUGCCAGGACCUUUUGUAAGUUCCAGUGGAAAUUAUUUUGAAGUAUUACGUUACCUGCUACUUUUUGGUGUGCCCUAAUACUAUUAUGGCCGUAUUUUCCAGUUUUGCUCUCAUGAGGCCAACAAAAUUAGACCUGCUGGCACAUGGUCGAUGUCAGCAUGUAACUGUGAGGACUGCCUAUUCUUUUAGAAUGCGUUUUUUUUAAUUUAACAGGACAGCCAUUUAUGACAAGGAAACAACAAAUUUUGUUGUUUACCUUUUACUCUUUAGUGUUUUCUUCCAUUGUCCUGUCUGGAGUUUAACUCAUAUCUUGAAACACCAUAACUUCAAAGAAGCUCUCAAAGAGCUCUGUGCAUGAACGGCAUAUAUUUCCUGUCGCCUUUUUCAUUUGUAACUGUAGUCCCUGUGCAGCCUUAUUCUUGAGUUGUAUAAAUUGAGGAUUCGUUUUUGAGGUUGCAUUACUGUGUUGGUACAGCUACCCGCUUAUGUAUAAAGAUGUGAGGUCUGCAGUUGACUUGUGUCAUCGUGAUGGAACUUUAAAGCGGAUGGUUGCGAAGGAACCUGGCAGGUAAUUCAGUUUCCUAUUUUAUGGUUAACUAUCUAAUACAAGUCACCUGACACAAUUGCAAUGCUAGAUAUUAUCCAUAAAGACUACUUAUUUUUUGCUAUAGGGCUGCCUUGACUCUUAUUUUGGUCCACAUGCCGAUUGGCAAUUUGGCAUCCAUUCUCUUCGCUGUUGUAUACUUAUAAUUAUGUCCUAGACAACUCUGCUAAUUUGUUUAAUUUGAACAUUGCAGGUACAUCAAUGAGGACUUGGCAAUUGUACCAAUGCUUGAAAUGAUAAAAAAAUCUGGACGCUCAACAUUCUUAGUGACAAAUAGGUAUAUGGCCCCUUUUUUAUUUUAGGCUUCUUGAGACUUGUGUGCUGACAAAUGUGUCCUAGUUUCUCUUAAAAUCAACCCAUGUGGUAUAACACAUCUUGCUGCAUUCUACAGUUUCGAGCUUCUUGUACAAUCUAUUUACUAUCUAGACAUGCACUUGUUCAUGCAGUUUGUGGGACUACACCGAUGUUGUCAUGAACUACCUUUGUGGACCAUACACUUCAGAUGCAGGAUCUGGUCUCAACCACAAGUGGCUUCAAUAUUUUGAUAUUGUAAUAACUGGCAGGUUUGUGUCUUUUGUUAUUUGAUUCCUUGUUCUUUUGUUUUUACUAUUUAUUGAGCAAAAGUAUCAGCUUCCUCAACUCAGCCAGUCCUUGCUGAACUUUCAGUUCGAAGCCAAGUUUCUUCCACGAUGAUAACCGUGCGGGCCUCUUUGAAGUUGAGCCUGAUUCUGGAAAACUUCUAAAUGCUGAUAUUCAGGCUAGUAAAUUUAUCAAGUCUGUUCUAUUUCUAUGAUAUAUAUGUUUUUAAUUCCUAAUAUGUCUCAUCAUCCUUUGUGAAGAUUGGAAGCCCAAGAUCAAGUCAUCAGCAUGCAACACCAGUUCACAAAGUUUACCAGGUACUUAUUCUUUUUGCAAAAUUUUAGCAUUGUUACAGUGACUUCUCAGAUGUGGAUAAUGGUCAAAUGAUUUUCUGUGCAACUUGUAACAGUGAAAAUGAUACCUGGCCACUUAAUAUUGUUUCAUUUUUUUAUAUUGUUUCAUUAUUUUACGUUGUAUAUCUUAGAUCUAGCAACUGAAUAAGUAAUAUCUAUUUACUGGUGUAUCUUUUCCAGGGAGGCAAUGUCGGUCAUCUUCACAGAUUACUUUCUAUUGCUUCUAGUUCACAGGUAUGGGUACACUUAUUUUGGUAUUUAAAAUAGUGUCUAGUACAUACUUCAGUACAGAUUCACUGACACUGAAUGUGAGAUUAAUUGUGAAUCAAAUAAAAUAACGUGUAUCUUACAAUGUUUUAGAUUCUCUAUGUUGGUGAUCACAUAUAUGGAGAUAUUCUGCGCAGCAAGAAAGUUCUGGGUAUGUUUUUUUAUCCUCUACUUUUUUGAUGCACUGGAAUUUGAUAUAUAUUUGGUUAUUAAAUGCGGUAGUCUUAAUUGUGCAGAUGAGGUUUAAUACUGCUCACUAGUUAACUAUGUGUUUGUACUUAAUGCUAGAUCAAUUUAAGUAACUAUAUGACAGUCAUAGAUGUUUUCCUUCUAGAAUUUUUGUGUGCACUGCCAGUCAUGGAAUGUGUUUGACACUUUCUUGUGGGGGCACACGCACAUCCAAGUGCCACACACACACAAAUUCAUUGUGUGCCUGUAAUUUGUGUGUGCGUGCGCCACUGUCCUGGAUGUGAAAUUUGUGUGACACUUUCCUAUGGGACGCUUCCCUUUUAUUGCAGUUGUCCACCAUAUUUCAUCCAUUUCCUAAAUGCUUCUGUACGCGUUGUGAUCCUUUUAAAGGCUGGCGGACUAUGCUGGUGAUUCCAGAACUGGAGCAUGAGGUGAAGCUUCUUUCAGAAUCGAAGUCAACACGGAAGGUAUGAAUAGCUCAGUUGCUUGUAAAAAUAAUUGAUUCCUAACAAUGAGAUCUUAGGGUAGUGUUAAGUUCAUGUACACAGUCUAUGUGUCACCAGCUUGCUUGUAUGUGCUAUCCAUUUCAGGAGCUUAGACAUCUUAGAAUGGAACGUGAUUCAAUUGAAGACAGAAUCCAUCAUCUUGAAUGGUCUCUCAAGUAAGUUGAGAAAGUCUUUUAGUUUAAACUUUAACUGUUUUGCAUUUAAAUAUAUUUGCAGUUACUCCCCAGACUAUUGCUUUAGCUUUCAAGAAUGAAUUUGAAUCGUCCUAAUGUAUUUGUACUUUUGCGGCAAAUUGGCCUUGAAUCUUUCUAUGGACGUUUCCAGGAAGACUUUAUACUAAUAAAUUUGCUUUGCUGCAUUUGUUGUGUCCACUUUCAGCGAUCCUGUAAAAAAAAUACCUGCAAUAUGUUCAUGAUAAACUUAUGCUGAUCAAAUACAUCCUUAAGCUCUGGGUUCAUGAUAAAUAAAUGCUGUCUUUCUUUUUCUUGAUGGUAUGUAGUUUCCUCAUAGAUUCGCUACAUCUAACCUCUCCUUUCUGUCCAGAUUUGAUGAUAUCACGGAAAAUCAGAAGGAAAAGUUGAUCUCUGAACAUGUUGAUCUGCUGGUUAGUCCUUAUUUUGAUUUACUUUGUUGUCGAUUGGUCAUGAGAAAAUUAUUUUUUGAACGGAAGAUUAUCACUCUUGCAAGUGAAAAGAAAAGGAUGAUAUUCAAAUUUAGGUAUAUCUUGUAGACUAGGUAUACUAAGACAAUAAGAUGUGCCCUAGGAUUUUUAAGGACCAACGUCCUGACAGGCUGCUGGUUGAAGAUAAUAUUCAACUUGUGGUGUAGGAUUGUGGUAAACAUGGUAGAUUUCAUGUAGCAGUGUCAACUCCUGUACACAUUUUGUUGGUAACCGUUAUUUUUUUCAUGAUACCAUUUUCUUUUCACCUUUUAAUUGCAGCAACAGCGAGAGCAUGUUCGCCGCCUUCAUCAAGAGGCUCAGAGGCAACAUCAUCAGAAGGUAAUGUGCUAAGUUACAUUAUUGUUGAAUAUGUGUCAAACACUUUGCGUAUUCCUAAUUGAAUGCUCUUUAUUCGAUUCCAGUUUCAUAAGGUGUGGGGACAGCUCAUGAAGACUGGUUACCAAAAUUCCCGAUUUGCUCAUCAGGUGCAGAACGUUUAACCACAUUUGGCAUUUAAUAAUACUGAAAAAAUGUUAUGUGCAGCAAUGUGUUGUUGACGCGCAAGGUUUUGUUUUGGCUUUUCCACAGGUCGAGAGAUUUGCAUGCCUGUAUAGCAGCCAGGUUACAAACUUCGGUUUGUAUUCCCCCAACAAGUACUAUCGUCCGAGCGAAGAUUACAUGCCCCAUGAGUUCGAUGUGCUUGGGCUGUAGGAGCAAUCCCUGCCGAUGCUCAGAGCUCCCCGUUGUAACUGAACCAGAGCAGGAUAGGAGGGUGAUUUGAGUUGCGGCAUUGAUUAACAUGUGUACUUGGCAUAUUUAUCGAGUGAAAGCUUCACCAUUGGACAUGUUAUGGAUAUGGGAGGUAAAGGGUGGUGGUUUAAAUAGCAGCUAUAGUUUCUCAUAGAGCAGCAAUUUUACCUGUAUAUUUUUGUACAUAACAAGUUUUAAGCAGAAGCAAAGGAAAGCAACGCCGAUCAUGUCUUGGGUACACAUUGUGAAUUCAGCUUUUUGUUAAGUGUUCCAAUCACAACCAUUGUGUAGUGCAGCGUGCUUGUCAGGCUGAAUUCUUGCUGAAAAGCUUGUCUAGUCCAACAUUUUGUAUUUAUAAUCUUGCAGCUUCAAGGUUAGUUAUGCUAGGUCACACGAUUCAACCCGACGCGGGUGUGGGGACCCCUCGAUGUGCUAGCGAGUUGUGAGGGUACCAACUCACCCGUCUGGAUUCAAUCUUGAUGUCCAUAUCUGAUAAUGUUGAGUGCUUUCAUCAAAUUAUUUAUAAGCACGUGAUGAGCAGUAGACUUGUGAGCUGUGGGAUUGUGUUGUGCGUUUGUGGUGGUGGUGUGUGCGUCAUCCUUGUAAUCGAAAAAAGUUCAAUCCACGUAAAAGAAAAAAGGCAGCGGUACAGAGGGAAAGUCUACUUACAUGAAUGAAAUGUGAAAGUCCUAUAGGGAGCUGCCUAUGAACCAGAACUAGAAGUAUGUCAAUCUCGGCUGUUUCAGUAUAUCUUCUGUGCAUGUGUCACGCAAACUACACACUAUGUGUCACACAUUUAAGGGUGGUAAUGGAUCAUGGCCAUUAUGCCUCCCUACAAUCUAACUUAGUCCUAUCUAUUUUUAGUUUAAAAUUAUAUAAUAUCAUAAUCCGAUCCUUAUUGAGCUCGAUCCUUAAGGUCUGGUUUGGUUCCUCUAAAUUAUUUUUAGCACCCGUCACAUCGAAUAUUUAGAUACUAAUUAGGAGUAUUAAAUGUAGACUAUUUACAAAACCCAUUACAUAAGUGGAGGUUAAACGGCGAGACGAAUCUAUUAAGCCUAAUUAGUCCAUGAUUUGACAAUGUAUUGCUACAGUACACAUUUGCUAAUGAUGGAUUAAUUAGGCUUAAUAGAUUCGUCUCGCCGUUUAGCCUCCACUUAGUAAUGGGUUUUGUAAAUAGUCUACGUUUAAUACUCCUAAUUAGUAUCUAAACAUUUGAUGUGACACGUGCUAAAAAUAAGCAAAGCAAACCAAACACCCCCUAAAUUUGCUAGCCUUCGUUGGAGGGCCCUUCACCACCCCUACGUACCCUACUAUCAAAUCACUGUUCAUCACUGUUUGAUACUGUAGUACCAGAUCUGAGCCGUUCGCUGGAGGAUCGGACGGCCGAGAUUACGUGCAGUGUUAACUUGCGGUGGCUGUGUACACGCACACACACGUCCUCGCAAUCGGCGAGCUCCACCAACCCUCCAUCGGAGAGGGGGUUGUAGCGAAUGCCGGAAAUGGGGCAGCCAUUGCUGAUCUACGCGUUCGUGGCGCGGGGCAAGGUGGUGCUUGUGGAUUACGUCGACUUCCGCGGCAGCUUCAGCGUUGUAUCGGAUCUCGUCGCCACUGCAGCCCAGCAGCUACCGUACCCGGGGCUGGGGCGGACGCAUGCGGGCAGCCGCAACGCCCGCAAAAACAAAGCGAGCUGCCGCAUAUGCCCGCAUCAGGAAUUGCGGCUCGUGCGGACGCGGGGCGGGCUUGCAUCCUAUCCGACCCAUGGACUUGUGGCCCACCCAAGCCCAGGCCAGGCAACCCGCACCGCGUCUCUCUCCUCCCUCCUCCACGGGCACCACGGCUCCACCCGACCAUCUCCGCCGCCACUAACCCGCAGCCCGGCAGCUCAACCUCCCUCCCUCUCGAUCCGACCCCAUCGCAUCCGCCGCGUCGUCGCCGUCGAGGUCGCUCCACCAUGGCGACGCUCCUAGCCCGUCAGGCAGCGCAGGCGCUCCGCGCGAGGCAGACGGUACGAAUCCCUAGCACUAACCGCCCAUGCGCGGCGCUUCCAGAUCCCCCCUAUGCGCUCCCGGAUUCUCGGAUCGAGCCUUUCCUGGGUGCUGGCGUUCUGAUGCGGCUUUGAUUCUGUGGUGCUCGUGUUGUUGCAGGCGCAGCUUGGCCCCUUCGCAUCGGCGAUGCAGGGGCACCUCCGGACCUACUUCAACGCUGGGACGCCCAAGAGGUUCAAAGGUUAGCUCUCUUCCCCUUUGUAUUGGACUGCUUGUAGUGUUAGAAUUACCCAAAUCAGAAACCUUGAUUCGUGUUGGAUUGGUUCUAGGAUCAUUACUAGGUAAUUAGGCAUCCUGGUGUAAGUAGUUAGUUCACUCAUUUUGUUGAAUAGGUCGUGAUGCCUUUUGAAACUGCUUGGGAUAGGCCUUGGGUUAUCAAUAAGCUGUGACUUCCAAUCGGUAAGAAAUGCUCAAAGAUGAAGUGCUUGUUUUGCUGCCUUAGUUUACCAUUCAGAAGCUGAUGAUGGAAUAUUGUGCCAAGUUAUAUGUGAGCUUUAACUUUUCACAGGUUGAUGUCCAUGUUGACUUUGUGCGUGCAUUCUUAAUUCGUAUCUGUUUGAUACCACUGUUCUCUGCUUGUAUUUAAUCCUAUUAAUUUACAGAGGAUGAGGAGAAAGAACAGCUUGCAAAGGAGAUUGCAAAAGAUUGGAAUGCUGGUGAGUAAGAUGUUUUCCUGCGAAUAAGACAAGAGUAUUGCCCCUGAUAAUUUAAUUUGUUGCUGUCUGGGUACUGACAGUUCUAAUUUUUCACUUUAUUGCUUCAGUGUUUGAAAGGGGCAUCAAUACAUUGUUUCUGACUGAAAUGGUUCGAGGCUUGAGUCUGACGCUCAAGUAUUUCUUCGACAGGAACGUUACAGUAAGUAAUGAAUUUUGUAUAUGCUGUUGUCUGUAGCUCUGUACUGUAAUUGCUUGGUUGCAUUGACUGUUUUUUUUUUAUCUCACUACAUUUCAGAUUAACUAUCCAUUUGAGAAGGGUCCUCUGAGUCCCCGCUUUCGAGGAGAGCAUGCUCUCAGACGUUAUGAAUCUGGGGAAGAGCGUUGCAUUGCUUGUAAACUAUGCGAGGCUGUAAGUUAUCCUUCCUUAAGUCUAAGUUUAAGUUUAUAAAGCUUUGAGUUCACACGACGGACAGUAAAUAAAUCUGGAAAAUAGUGGGCAUCCUGUCUUUUUGGAAGGGUACCUGACAAAUUAAAUCUGCAUGCAAAAGCUUCAGUUAAUAGCUUGGAUGGGAUCUGUCCAUCAUGUAAUUUAUGGCUAAAUUGGAAUUUGAAAGCCUUAUUGUGGAACCUUUUGGUUUCAUAAGAAUCAAUUUGAUAACUUUUGAGCAAUUUUGCUUUCAAAAGAAUGUCAAACUAUGAAUCAGUUGGCAGCAAAGUAAUUGCAUAUUACUGUCCUAUUGAUUUAUUUAAAAUAUAUAAUUUUGAGGGUUCCUUAUGAUUUUGGUGCGUGGAACUAGUUCAUGUAAUUUGGCUAGACAAUUUUUUUAUGGGGGCAUCAAUUGGAUGUGGUUCUCAAACAUCUUGUGCUUCUUAUGUGUUAUGUGAUUGACCAAAAUACUGUUGCAAAAACUAAUAUAUUCUGAAAUAGCUUGCUAGCAGACUAAUCUAGUAUAUUAGAACUCUGAAGUUGCUAUACUCAAAAUAGCUUAGCUACUACUCGAGUUUACUGGAGUAAACAGUAGUAUCUGGCUUAAGGUGGUCGCAUUGCUGAAAGUUGUCUUACAAAUUAAGACAGCAGUUAUUGAAGCAUAAGUGUCUGAUUAUUGAAAAAUAUUUUUUCUCAUUUGGUAUAAACUGUUUCCAGAUAUGCCCAGCUCAGGCAAUUACAAUUGAGGCUGAAGAACGUGAAGAUGGCAGUCGCCGAACCACAAGGUAAUCAAAUGGAUAUUUUUCUUUGAUUUUUUUUGUUUGAAUAUAUGAUAUACUUGCUUGAGAUAUGCAAAUCUAGUUUCAUUCUGAACUUCUGAUGAUCUAUUUUCAUGCAGAUAUGAUAUUGACAUGACCAAAUGCAUUUACUGUGGUUUCUGCCAAGAGGCUUGCCCAGUUGAUGCUAUUGUUGAGGGGCCUAACUUUGAGUUUGCUACUGAGACCCACGAGGUAAACUACUUGAAAAUAAUGUAGGUUUAUCACAGUUUCAACUUGUUGCUAGAAAGUAAUGUCAUGCAACAUACAGGAACUGCUGUAUGACAAGGAGAAACUGCUUGAGAACGGCGACCGCUGGGAGACUGAGAUUGCUGAGAACUUGAGAUCGGAGAGCCUUUAUCGCUGAAUUGUUCUUCCCUUGUGAUCUAUAAACUUGGUUCCCACAUUUCCUUUUUUUUUUUGCUGAACCAGCUGAUAAAUAAGCAAACGAUGUGUAACUUGGGUACCAGGUACCGUGUUUUUGUACCUGACACCAUCAGACUGUUGCUGUAUUCAAAGUGUCAGGGUGAAGGUGCACACUGCAUGUUCUUUGUUACAAUCGAUUUCAACUGUUAUCAGCAGAGACGAUAUUUUUGAACAACUGAACAGAAAACUUCUCUGGUCCCAUUGAAUUUCCUGGAGGACCUUUUGUGUUCUCAUUUGGCUACAGUGUCUCGGAUAGCUGCCACGAUCAGCUAGAGGAAUGCUCCGUAUCUCGUUUCUAGCGUGCCUUGCGAACGAGGUUUAUAAUUCAGGCACAGCGUGACAGUUUUUUUCAAAAUAACUUAAAGUAAAAAUUUUCCCACUAGGAACAGGGUAGGAGCUCUGCAACCGCAAGUCUUUUCUUGUUUUUUGAGCAGAGCCCUGCGAUGAAAUGUGGUUGUUUCGUGCGUAACCGGCGGCCGGCGUCACAGCCUCACGGCGGUGGCCUGGUGGGUCAGCAGAAGCCACGCGAUGCAACUUGGUAGCCGAACUGCGUCGAGCAUACGAGGGAGUAGGGUUGACCGUUUGAGCCGGCACAGCGUUAGGAUUAGGAACAAGAACAACAAUGUUUUUGAUAGUGUGUUUGCGUGAAAGCCCUUAGUUUAUAGCUGAUGUCAUUUGAAUCUGCGAACCGCAGGAAAAAAGCUUUCGUAGCUCAGUUGGUUAGAGCACCCGUUUAGUAAGCGGGAGGUCUUGAGUUCGACUCUCAACGAAAGCAAAUGAAUUGUGUUAUGCUUAAUCUUUUUUUACUGAAGACUGAAUCAUAUGUUUGUAACUUUUUUUACUGAAGAUUGAAUCAUAUGUUUUGCCUUAUCGUUUUCUACUGAAGACUGAAUCAAGUCUUACUCUUUAGUGAAGAACUAGUGUUCGACGCUCAGCGAAAGCUUGAGGAUUCCGUUUUGUCACUAAAGAGCUUUUCUCGAGAGAUAAAAGCAACAAAAAAUCAGCAUGGUUCUCAACGAAAGCAUGAGGAUUCUUUUUUGCCACUUUCUCAAGAGAUAAAACCAAAAAAAAUCAGCAUGGUUUGCAAAAGGUUAAGAGAGAUUUAAAUCAGCAUGAGAACUGCUAGAGUUGUUUAUUUCGAAAAUUGUAGUAGGAUCGAAUUUUAACACUAAGCGAAUGACAGCCUUAAAGUGCAGAAUUGAUCAUCAGGGGAGAAGAACGACCAGCAUAGGAAGAGUAAGUAGAAUGCACACUCCCAGGCUAACUGGGUUAGGAAAACAGGCAGUAGCAGUAGUUAAAAACAUAUCAAAUACAGCCGAAAUCAGUCGGAAGGCCAGGACGUAACGUAAAUGCAAGUACUGAUUAAGCGAGAGUAGCACGAGAUGGAACCAACAGUAAUUAACCGAGAUACUGAUUCCAUUACAACAUGGUAUUAAAGCAGUUCAACAAGCAACGGUGAAGCAAACACCAACAUAACAAACAGCCCAAGAGGCAAUAUCAAAAGAGUUUUCGACACCGCGACAGAUGUCAUCCACAGAUUGACGACACAACCGAUACCUGCAAGCCGAUCACGAUCAGUACUCCUCGUCCUCCUCAUCAUCGUCACCACCGCCCUCAGCGCCGACCUCCUCGUAGUCCUUCUCCAGGGCCGCCAGGUCCUCACGGGCCUCGGAGAACUCCCCCUCCUCCAUGCCCUCGCCGACAUACCAGUGCACAAAGGCGCGCUUGGCAUACAUGAGGUCGAACUUGCGGUCGAUGCGGGAGAACACCUCAGCGACGCUGGUGGAGUUGGAGAUCAUGCACACAGCGCGCUGCACCUUGGCGAGGUCACCACCCGGCACCACUGUCGGUGCCUGGUAGUUGAUGCCGCACUUGAACCCUGUUGGGCACCAGUCCACAAACUGGAUCGUGCGCUUCGUCUUGAUGGUGGCCACCGCCGCGUUCACAUCCUUGGGCACCACAUCGCCGCGGUACAUCAGGCAGCACGCCAUGUACUUGCCGUGGCGGGGGUCACACUUGACCAUCAUGUUCGCCGGCUCGAACGCGCUGUUGGUGAUCUCCGACACCGACAGCUGCUCAUGGUAGGCCUUCUCUGAAGAGAUCACCGGCGCAUACGAGGACAGCAUGAAGUGGAUCCUUGGGUAAGGAACCAGGUUGGUCUGGAACUCAUUCACAUCCACAUUGAGGGCACCAUCAAACCUCAGGGAAGCAGUCAGCGAUGAGAUAACCUGCACAGCACAACAAUUUAACACAAAUUACCAUCAGUUUCAGGGCUGUAAUGGUUUAGGAAAAAAGUUUCCACGGCUGUACAAACACCAGAGCAGCUGACAGAUUUCACCACGUUACCUGAGACACAAGGCGAUUCAGAUUGGAGUAGUUGGGCCUCUCAAUGUCCAGAGAGCGCCUGCAGAUGUCAUAGAUGGCCUCGUUGUCGAGCAGGAUGGAGACAUCAGUAUGCUCCAGAAGAGAGUGGGUGGAGAGCACGCUGUUGUAGGGCUCAACAACAGAGGUUGACACCUGGGGAGAUGGGUACACAGUGAAGCCCAGUUUGGAUUUCUUGCCGUAGUCCACAGACAGGCGCUCAAGGAGGAGUGAACCAAGGCCAGAACCGGUGCCACCACCAACAGCAUUGAAGACCAGAAAGCCCUGAAGGCCAGUGCAGUUGUCAGCAAGCUUGCGGAUGCGGUCAAGGCACAGAUCAACAAUCUCCUUGCCAA
rnacentral:lncRNA from 1 species